rnacentral:lncRNA from 1 species
AAGUCCUAGUCAUUUACUCCGUGUUUCGAAUGUCUAACAAAAUAUCGUCUAAUCAAACUUACCAAACAAGCUCCAAGGGUUCUGAAAGCGGUUUCACCAAUUCAGCCCUUACAAUGAUUUAUGAAUAAUGAAUGCUAGGAUUUUCACAUCUAUCUUGAUUUUCACUCAGACUUGCGCUUAGAAUAUCUCCUUGCAUUCGACUUUCCAAUGCCACUUGUACACCGACCUACAAACUUGAGAAACUCGUCUAUUAAAAUGACAGGCAUCGCUACCAUAAGUACCAAUCCCCACUCGUUCAGGCUUAGGGGCACUAUGCCGAAUACUUGAGCAAGGAAAGGCACAUAUAGGAUCAAGAAGUGCAGGCCGAAUGAGACUGACAUAGCCAAAAGGAGCCAUGGGUUGACCCAAGGAGGCAUCGAUAAGAGGCUUCCGUCCUCAGAGAGGGCAUUUAGGGAAUUAAACAUCUCGAUGGAGACCAGUACAGAGAGCGAGAGAGUCAUGGCCUUGAUUUUACCAGUUUGGAAGUAGUCGCAUGGAUUUUCAUCAUAUGUGAACACUUGUGCUCCAGCUGUGAAAGGUGAAACUGAGAAGUUCGUCCAAAUGUGACAUUGACCCCAGUUGGCAAGCUGGGAAUAAGUGACAAGGCUGUGACCAUCUCCACUUAGGUCAAUGCCAAAGAAAGAGGCAUGAGUGUACCAGAUAACGAAUAUUCCCACAGUUGCUAUACCAACAUAAGAUCCAAUCACCUGCAUAAACGUUUAAAGCCUCACAGGUUAAAUACAUAUCCAAAGCAUAUUUGGAUAAAGCUAGAAGUAACUUCAAACUUACUUUUCUAUGAAAGUUUUUUUCCUAAAUAUAUUUGGUUGUGGUGCUUUUUCUUAUAUAAGUGAAAAUGUGAUUAAUUAUGAAAGCAAUGAAGUGUUACUUAAAAAUUAAGUAAUUAUUCCAUACUUUGACCAACUAAAAAAUUAUUUACUUUUUACUUAUAAGUAAACUUAUAGUGAAUUUUAAGCUCAGACAAACUUGCAUAGGAGUUCCAAUUAGAAGGAGUGGUGAAAAGAAUCAAACAUACCAGAUAUCGGAAGAGAAUCCAUGCACUGAUCAACGAGUCAUCGCUUCUUCGUGGCGGUUUCUUCAUUAUAUCCUUGUCUGGUGGAUUGAAUCCCAGAGCCGUAGCUGGCGGUCCAUCGGUAACCAGGUUAACCCACAGAAGCUGAACUGGGAUCAGACCCUCUGGGAUACCUAAAGCAGCUGUAAGGAAUAUUGAGGCAACCUCACCGAUGUUCGAGGAAAUCAUGUAUCUGCACAAAGGAAAAAACUUUUAAGUCUAAAUAUGUGCAAAUUUUGCGCACAUCCAUUAGUAACAUGCUGAAAACUCGGAACACAUUCUUCCUCUAUUGGAAAAAUAUUGGGGGUGAACUGCAAUUUAAUGCUAAUAAACCAUCUUCCAGCCGCAGGUUUGAACUCACAGAAAACACAGUGGAACAAAUGAACAAUGCAAGCAUGUAGCCCAGUAUCUGUUCACAUUUUCUUGUACAAACCAGUACUACUUCAACCCUUAAAAUCUGUGGAUUUUAAGGAAGAAAAUAUCUAGACAAGUGUGUACUGAUCACAACAAGGCCUGGACAAGGGAGAAACGAGAAUGAAGGCUAUUAGUAGUUUAGCAUGUGUGCUAAACUUUUCAACUUUCAAGCUAUUUUAUUCUGUAUGUAAUCAUAUGUUUCCAGUCAAUUGUGCAAUCCAGUUGAGAUUUUUGAUCGCGCACUCACAUGCCUCCGUGCACGAAGGUGCAAUAGUUACAAAGGCUAUACCAAACGUGGUGAGGAAGGCCAUUAUGCCAUAAUAAUACGUAUGGCUCAGGUCAAAAUGACAUACACAAGCUCAGCAUAAGACAAGUCAUCGACAAUGAUUUAAAUUCCCUUGUAUCUUGGGGGUUAGUUCGUUAAACUUGUUCUUCUGUUAAGGUACAAAAUAUGUUUUAGCUUUUGUUAUACAACUAAUGCCAAUAAGUCAGGUCAGUUACAUAACUUUGGUUUCACCAUCAAUUUGUAAGCUCUUAUUCCCUUCAAUCACUUAAAUCCUUGCCCAUUGAUUGUUAUUUUCAGUGGUGAAGGAGCUGACCUCCACAAAUGUAAAAUUCAUAGCCACCAAAUGGAAACUAUUUAUUAAUAAAUUGUUAGCACAGACAUGUCCCACCUCAAUAAAAACUGCGGUGUCUUUUCUAAAUUUCAACGACCAAAAACAUAUUUCACCAGCACUCUGGCUGUUCAAAUUACUUAUUAGCUUCAACUCUAACUAUUUGCCCAUAGUCUCGAUAAUCCCACGUUCAGAGUACUUAACAUCCAGUGAGAAACAGAAUAUAUGUGAACCUGCACAUAAUAUGCUAGAAACAAGUCUUAUAACUUGGUAAAGAUACAAAUUAAAGGCAAAGUAUCAGAUAACCUGAUGAAUGCCUUCAUGUUAUUGUAAAUGGAUCUGCCUUCACCAACAGCAGAAACUAUUGUACUGAAAUUAUCAUCUGCUAGAACCAUGUCAGAAGCCUCCUUUGCAACCUGAAACGAAAAAUUGUGAUUGAGAUAAAUUGCCUGUCAGGUCAUCAUGUCAGUGAAUGAACAAACACAUGCAGUUCACUUGAAAUAAGUACACAAGCAACUUAGUCAGUACAUGAACAAAUUCAUAUGGUUCAAUUGAAAUUAGAAGUGCACAUGCAGUGCCGGUUCAUUAUAGCCCUCUUAAUUCGCAUUACAAUGAAUGCUCCAGGUUAGCACAUUGGACUCCCAACUAUUAAUGCAUAAUUUGGUUAAUUCAGGAUUCCAAUUUGCACACAUACCUCAGUUCCAGCAAUUCCCAUUGCAAUCCCAAUAUCAGCCAAUUUCAAGGCAGGUGCAUCAUUCACUCCAUCCCCAGUCAUUGCUACCACUUCACCUGAUUCCUUAAGCAACCUCACUAUCUCUUGUUUAUGCCUUGGUUCAGCCCGAGAGAAGAGAAGCCCUCCAUCUAGUUUUAGAUGUGUUGCUUUCUCACUGCCAGGAAGCUCCAUAAAUUCCUUUCCUGUCAAGCUUCUUGAACUGAUGUCCUCAUGGUGCCCAAAGACACCUAUUUCACGACAAAUAGCUUCAGCUGUAUUUUUGUUAUCUCCAGUAAUUACCAUAACACGAAUGCCAGCUGUUCUGCAAUCCUCUAUUGCUUGAGUGACCUCUUUGCGAGGAGGAUCCUUUUAAAAUUAAACAUAAAACACAAGCAAUGUAGUUAUUAUCUUGUUGCUAACAAGAAAUGGAAUAUAAUAUUAGGGAGUCCAAAGAAAAGAUGUACUUAAGAAACAAGCUUGCACACUCACUCUCAAACCAGCCAUGCCAACAAAAAUUAGAUUGCUCUCAAUUGGAGAAUAAUUUGCAGGAUUGAGCAAGAGCUCAUGAGCUGGAUGGUCUUCAUCGCCAUUAUAUGUAGCAAAUUCCUUCAGAUCCUCCUUGUAUGCAAAACCCAAAACUCGUAAUGCACUAGUUGACAUUUCACAGAGGCUUUCCAAAAUAGUUUCCCUCGAAUUCUGAUCUAAUUCUACAAUAGAGCCGUCAAGCAACUGCAAGAAAGAGCUUCUCUCCAAUAAAUUCUCUACAGCACCCUGCCAUAAUGUAGUAUAUAAUUUGUAGAAAUCUUUUAGAAGUUAAAAACAUAAAAAAGAGUUUGAAGAUGCAGCAAAUUUAGAAUAUGCAAACAAGUAAUACAGAAAACAUUGACCGGUGUAGUGAAGAAGUCUGAUUGUAGCAUCUUGAAAACAUCACUCAGUGAAAGCCAUAUUUAGUAAUUUUUUCUUUGCAGCACUAAUUACAGAAACAGUCAGGUGGCUGUGUUAAAGAAGAAUAAAGGAAACACAGAUUGCACCUUCACAAGCAGGGACUUUUUCCCUGAGCGGGAACACGCUAUGACUCCCAUUGACUUUCUAUCUCGAUCAAACUCAAGAGUGGCAAUCCGCUGUUCAAUUUUAUUCCAUGUGUGGGAGCAAUCUUGGAUGCAUCAAAAUAAACAAGUUGACAUCAACAUAUUAACUGGUAUGAUUUGUAUAAAAACAAUUCAAUAAGGUAGAGCAUCUUACUCAAUACACCAUCAUAACCUGAGGAGGCACCUGAAUGUAAUCCACUUGGAAGGCCCAUUUUCUCAACCAGAACCUGAGCAUUAAACAAUCAUGUCAAGAAUCUGAUUUUCAUUCAAAUAUUGAUUACUACCUCCUAGAAGCAAAAAUCACUCAAGGAAUGUAUGUAGAGGCAUCAAGCUUCCAUCAUCUGUGAGCAAAUUAUCAAAGAGGUACAAAAACACGUAAAGGUAAAGGAAAUGACCCAGAAAAAGGACAGAAUACUGCCAAGAACCAGCAAUGGAACUAACCCUGUCAUCCUUAAUCUUUAGGGCCUGGAGUAUACUUUCAUUUGUCAUAAAAUUUUCCAAUUUGAGCAACAUGCAAGAAGCCUUAUUGUCAUGUUUAUUUCCUUACAUGGAAAUUAAAAAAAAAGGGCAAUCCGCAUAGUGAAGCUUUACUUGAAAAAUGCUGACAAAAUCAUGCGCAGAAUGCAGGAUAAAUGUGUUUAUACUCGCUGUACCUUUAAUGCCGCCUCAGUGGGCAUUCCAUUGGCAACAUGAUGAUGUUCAGAUUUUUCUACAUCGGCAUCAUUGCACACAGCAGCAAUCUUUGCAAUCAUUUGAAGAUUAAGAUCUAGCUCACCCACUGGCCAAUUUUGUAUAUUUCCGUCAAAAGGAUUAUAAGUGGUCCCUUCCACAUUGAAUGAUCGAAGAGCAUUUGCCUUGGAACCCAUGGCAACUAGCUUAGCCACUGCCAUCUGGUUGGUAGUCAAAGUACCAGUCUUAUCUGAACAAAUCACAGUUGUGCAACCAAGUGUUUCAACACUUGGCAACUUUCGAAUGAGUGCAUUCUUAGCAGCCAUCUUCCGGGUUCCAAGGGCCAAGCAAGUUGUAAUAACUGCAGGUAAACCUUCAGGAAUAGCAGCAACUGCCAAAGCUACGGCAAUCUCAAAGUAAUAAGUGCACUUCUCAAAUGAAAACUUAAAAUUUCUAGGCCAGCCAUCAAUGAAUUCCCAAGAAAGGAAAUAUUUCACAUUAAUCAGCCAAACCAGAGCACAGAUUACUCCGAUUAUAGCAGUUAAAGCUUCUCCAAACUCGUUUAAUUUCUUCUUCAGCGGUGUACCUUCCUCACUUUGCGAUGCCUCAUGAAUCUGAGAAUGCACCUUCCCAAUUUCAGUAUUCAUCCCAGUCUGCAUAACCAGACAAAUACAGUGUCCAUUCACUACUGUUGUCCCAGCAAACACCAUACACUUCUUUCCCUGAAUAUCAACAUCCUCAGAGACUGCAUUUUUGGUCUUAUUUACUGCCUCGCUCUCUCCAGUCAAGGACCCCUGUUCAACUCGAAGAGUCGAGCUGAUCAAACUCAAAACCCUCAUAUCAGCUGGAGCCUUAUCUCCAACUCUCAACUCCACGAUGUCCCCUGGAACAAGCUCUUUUGCUGGUAAAUUUGAAAUUUUUUUCCCCUCGCGGAGAACAGUCGCAUGCUCCGAUUGGAUUUCCUUCAAUGCCUCUAGCGCUUUCUCCGCAUUGUUCUCUUGCCAAACCCAACAAUUGCAUUCACAAUUAAUAUCAAGAAUAUCACUAAAGGUUCCACGAAAGCUGUUAUCUCCAUCUCCCCACCUUCCUCUCCAUCAUACCAUGCCAACACAAAGGAUAUCACAGCAGCCACAAGUAAAAUUCUGACUAAUGUAUCAUUGAACUGAUCCAGAAUUAAUCUAAAAAUGGAUGUCCCCUCAUGUUUCUCCAACUCAUUAAGCCCAUAGAUCAGUCUCCUUUUCUCAACAUCAGCGCUGGACAAACCAUUCUUCAGAUUUACUUGAUACCUCUCUGCACACUCGUCCACAUCUUUCGACCAUGGAGCAUAAUUUUCUGCUUUCGACUCCGAUUUAGCACCCAAAUUCUCUGUCUUACCAUAAUUUUGCCCUCCUUUUCCCAUCAAUUAAUCAAAGAAUAAUUCACUAAACAGUUAUCCAAUCACGGAACUCACUAAAAUCCCGCAACAAAAUUCCUGAAAUUCAAAAAAUUCAACACAUUAUUAUCGUCAUCAUUUGAAAAAAUAAAAAAUCCACAACACAAACCCAGGAGGGAAGAUUUACUCAUCAACUAAAAGAUCUAAAACUACCAGUGAAACAGGAAUUAAAAUACGUAAAAAAGGCAAAACCCCAUAUAACACCCCCAUCAUUCAAAUAACCAUAUAGAUUCACACACCGACACAAAAAUAUCUAUAUAGAUUCAAAGAACAUAACUUACCACAAUUUUGGAGCGGCAGUUAGAGAAGCUUUUCUAAAUGUUAGUUAAUUUUAGAGAGAAAAGAGAAAAGGAACAGCAAUGUGAUUGCUGCAAUCGCUUCGUUUGCUUCUCCGUACAUUCUUCCCCAAUCUCUAUCUUAUAAUAUUCUAUAUAAUUAUUUUUGAACUAUAUGCUGCCAUCGCCACUCCUAUAUUCCAAUUCUAAGACGAAAUGACACAAUUGCCCUCAAAUGUAUAUUACAGGCAGUUUACUCACUUGAAUAAAGCAGUAGGUAGCAGGCCCCUGCCAGGGGAAGAGAGAGGGGGCGGAUCCCACUCAUUAUUUUAUUUUAUUUUUAUUUAUUUAUUUAUUUAUUUAUUUUUUUUUUUGUGAAAUGUGUGUGGGGCCGACCCCUACAAUGAGGGGCCUCACAGGCCCAGUGAAUUGAGGUUUUGUACGUGGAGCUCGAUUUUACUUAUUUAUUUGGUUGUAUGUUUAUGUAGUCUUUGAUAUUUAUAUUGUAAUGUAAUAACCUAAUUAAACUAGUGGAAAUUGGGUCAAAUAGCCUAUCUCAUGAUAAUAUUUGCAAAUUAAAAUGGAUGAAAUAGGUCCUUUUUUUUUUUUUUUUUUUUAAAAAUGUAAGAAUGAAUGGUUGAAAAAGAAGGAAAAUUUUUCGAUUUACGUGUAAUAUUAUUUUAUGAAAAAUUGUGUAAUUGAAAGUAGGAGAAAAAAAUAAAAUUUAAUUUAAUGGGGGUCAAACGAGGUUAGCCUAUAACCAGGAUAAAAGUUUUAAAAUAAAUAUUUUAAAUUAAUAUUAAAAAACUACCUGAAUUACUCUUAUUCAUUCAACACAUCCCCUUCCCUUUUCCAAAUCCAUCUCUUAUCUCUUGAAUGUGGAAACCCGUCCAACUCACCAUUGUUUUUUCCCAUUUUAACGCCUAUACUUCUAUAUAUUCUUCAUCUAAAUGAGAUGAGGUUAGUAUGUAAUUGAUCUUCCAUUUUGAACGUUACCAUCUCCUCGAGCAGCUUCAGUGUGAACAACGCUCGACACAAACAACCACCAUUGUGAAUAGCCCAUUCAAGUAAACAAUUUUUUCAGUUGCAUUUAUCACUUGCAUGGACGAACAGGUAAUUUCCCUUACACCUUGUUGUUUAUUAUUCUAAUCACAAUAUAAUGCUCUAAGAAAUUUAUAGCAUUUUGAGUUUAUAUGUUGUAAUACAGAGAAAUUAUACUAAAGGUGGCUAUGACCUGUUUGUUGAAAUUCUCAAGUGAUUGGUGGAACUUUGUUACUCUUUUUUCUUUAUAAUCUUUUCCCCUAGGUUGCUAGAAUUGAUAAUAAACGGGUUUUGCAACUUAGAAUCAAUAAAGAAGAGUUGUGGGGAUAGUGUGAAAUGGUGAGGUAUCUUUGAAGGAAAUGCAGAGACUAUUAUUUGCUCACAAAGUAGGAAAAGAUGAUUUUUUAGGACAUGAUUGAGUGAUACAGACAACCAAAAUCCUUCAUCCCUCUCCUCACUAUUUAUUUAUUUGCCUUUUACACUGGAGUCGAUGGCGCUGCUAUUACUGAGCAACUCUAUAAGAUAUGCUUCACUACUUAUUUCAUUUGGCUUGUUCACUUGGCUCUAUGGAAUUAGAUUUUAAUUAGUUGUUUUAUUUUGUUGUAAUAAAACAAAAGCAUUUUGAAAAUUUGAUUCAUUCAUUCACUAAGCCCUUUUAAGGUGGUUUGUAUUUGAUGAUGCGAGCUUUAGCUUAAUUUCCUAAACAUAAGGUCCAUGCUGAUUUUGGCUUUUGAUUUGAAGGCCUAUAUGUAGUCAAUUUUCUCUCUUGUUUCCCUUCUUUGAGAAUUUACUUUUGCAGGAGUAUGCAUUUAGUUAAUAGGUAGCUGGCAAUUAUCUCUUCCACUUGGUAGUUGGUACCAAGGGAUCUAUUUCCAUUAUUAUCAAGUAUCAACUUCUUUUGUUCUUUUCCUUCAACAGUAAUAUUUAUCGAUUUUUUUUUAUUUUUUUUAUCACUUGGAAAGCCAUAUCUUGUAGUAGCUUAUAAGAAUCUAAAUUGUUGGAACUUAUCAAGUUGUACCAUUAAUGAAGCCAAAGUUUUAUGGUGAACCUUAGAGGGUAAUGAGAGGUAAGGUUCCUGGAUUCAUAAAAGAGUAGUUCAAAGAAGCCAUCAAUUAGUCCGUUGGCUCCUAGUUUCUUCAUCUAAUUAUUCUUAUUAAUGGACGGAUGAAGUUAGGUAUUAUUGUCUACUUUGAUGUGUAAUUCUAUUUGAAAUUGUUAUGUACGUCUCUCAGAUGCCCAUGUAUAUCGAAUGGCUUACAUGCUUUGGUAUAUUCCAAUGACAAUGAUCUUGUUUAAUUACAAAUAAAGCCACUCUUGACUAGAUGUAUUCAAGGCCCAUGAAAGGUAUGCUAAGAGUGCCAUGUUGUUUUCAUUAGUUCUACAAAUUAAAGGUGUAAACAGCCUAUAUGCUAGAUAAAGAUAUAAGGAAAUUCUCUGAUUUGCCCAUGACUCAUGUAUGAUCAAUGAUUUACUAGCAAACGACUUGAUUCACAAUUUUCAUUUCAUGCAACAUUUCAUUGGUCAACUAGUUCGCUGGUUUGUAGAUUUGCAGAUAGGUAUUUUUCAUUUUUUGAAGUUUGGUAAUUUUCUAUUAAACCUAGUAAUAUACUUGUUGCUAAAUCAUUCUUUCUUGCAAAUUAACAUUUAUUUUUGGUUAAAUUCGGUGCUAGGUGCUUCAAUAAUAGCUCAUGCAAAGUUUAAAUGGGAAUUAACUUGUAGGUGUUGCUUUAGAACUAUUUCACUUUAUUCUAAUCUUAUCUAUGCUGGUAUUGCUAUUCUUAAGAGUAUUCUGUUACCUCAAAUUUUAGUCUUGGGGAUGUAGAAGUUGAUUGAAACAUUAAGUACAUCAGUGAGAAUUUUUAUUUGUGUUUACUCUUACCACCAUACCUAUGAUAAUAUUAUCUAGUAGUAUUCAAUCAUUUUUGCAAAACACACACUUAAUGCCUCCGAGUUUUAAUGAUGCUGUAAAAUUUACACAGUCAAAGACAUUAAGAAACUGAAGCUCAAAUCUUUAAGGAAACACAUCAGAUUGAUCCAACAAGAGUCGGCUCUUUUGACCACAUUAAUCCAUGAAAACAUUCUUUUGGUUAACAGGAGAUUAUAUAAGUCGCGCUCGCUAAUGCACUUACUUUCAUUAGUGCCCUUUCGGAGGACUAUUCGACUAAGGUUGGUGAACAAUGUAAUCAACUUUUUGAUGAGCAAAAGCAAGGAGUUGCUAUUUCACGCGCUAUGACAUGAGUGAAAAUGAAGUGAAACGUACUUGAAAUUAGUAUAAACGACACCCAUAUGUUUAAAAUUACUAUAUGUCGUUUUAGGUCACAAGUCUUGAUUUCACUCCAAAACUAGUAAAUGAAUGUUUGAAACAUGAUAGAAGACUUGUACUCUUGAACAAAUUAAUGUAUUGCAUUUUAAUCCCUACCUAUUAUCUACAUUUUUUGUUCGUUGUCAAGUGUGGUAUAGUUUCCAAACGAAUGUAUAGUGUUACUCACUAACGAUUGAACUUUGUGUGGAUCAUGAGAUCAAAAUGUAUUCAAAAUUCUCAUCUUUACACUUUCAAGUGUUAACGAGUGAAAAUGAAGUGAAAUGAACACAAAAUUAGUAGAAACGACACCCAUAAAUUUAAAACGACUACAUAUCGUUUUGGCUUAGAGGAUCCCCGAAAUAUCGUAGUUCGACCAGAUCAAUACCUAGAGGGGGGUGAAUAGGUGUUUAUGCGGAAUUAUCUUUUUCAAUCAAUUAAUAAUUACAACACAUCAUAAAUAUUAAUUUGUCCAGAUUAGUUCACAUGCUUUACUAUCCUAUGUUUGAAUACCGGUCAUAAAUUAAUUGAAAAAAGAUAAAUAGCAAAAUUGUUUGAUGACGGAGAAACCCCAAUGUGGGUAAAACUCCGGGCCCAAGCCAGUAGGAAUCGACUAUAAACAAAAAUGAAACUUACAAUCAACCAGACUCAACCUACACUGGUUUUUCUGACAUCCUGCACAUAGGUUCCUCAAAGCCUUCCUGGAAUGCGUGAUCCUACACCAACUCCCGGCACCUAGCCCUCCUGGAUUGUGUGCUACACCAAUUCCUGGCUCUUGAUUUUGUCUAUCUCCUGUGGAUUCAAGAGAACUACCUGUUCUCUAAUGAUCGGGACUCCGAUCUCCUUCCUCGAUCUCCAAGAAUCAACAAAAGCUCUAGAAGGUUGUGUUUUGGUGUUUGGUGAAUGUUGAUUUGAUAUUUUUUUAUUUAAUUGCUCAAAUCAAAUAUGGGAUUGAAUGAGAGAAUCAAAGUGUAGGAAAGUUUUCUUUAAUUUCAAUCCCUUGAGAGCACAAUUGAAAAUCGGCGCAAUUUUUCUUAUAUGCUGUGUAUUUUGAUAUUUUGGUUAGGUUGAAAUGUCGAAAAAAGGAAAAUAGGAUUUCAUGGGUAACACUGUCACUUGAGCGAAAAGCGAUCGAUGCUGUUUCGCUCGAGUGAAGUGGGGACAAGAAGCGAGCCACGACCUUUCUAUUUUUGUUGCUCGAGCGACCAUUUGGCGCGUAGCUAGCGAAACUUCAACGACACAUCUUACCUUACUUCAUAGCUCGAACCCUAGCACACUUUAUCAAAAUUACAACUGAGUCCCUCAUCUUUUACACAUGUACACAACGACCCCUAACCUUUAACUAUUGACAAAUUGACCCCAAACUUUUGAACAUUUACAAUUUUACCCUUUUGUUUAUAGAAUAGCCAACACGAAAUCUAACAAACUCUCCCUUUGGCAUUCUGUGACAAAACCAAAUUACAGCAGUAUGAACUACAAUGACAAUCCAAUACACUGACUCAACUCACUGUUGCCUUGUCAACUUUCAACCUGUUUCCUGAAAUCACAACUCAUAUACCCAGUGUAAAAGCACGAGAAACAGUAAUAUAAGUAAACAUAAAAGAUAAAGAGUCAUUAAUAGUCAUAACAUUGUACCAAUAUGCUAGAUUAAGACAUAAUAUCAAUGUAAGUCAAACCACCAAAAACAUACAUCAAUAAUGCAAAACAUCAACACAUAAUCUAGCCAAAAAUAUCAAUAGUACAUUAUCAAAGUACUUUAUCAUUACAAAUCCCAAAAAUAAUUAGCACCCACUCCCCUUUUUUGUCACAAAUGGCAAGGAGAACCCCAAGCAACUAAGCAGGAUCAUCAUCUCCGCCAUCCACGUCCUCAAAGUUCUCAGCCUCAGACUCAUAAUCCCAGUGCUCGCGUAUCCACCGAAUACCGCGCUGAACAAAAGCAAUAGCCCCACACAAUGUACCAAACUCCGCAGUAUGACGCUCGAAAGCAGCUCGUAACUAAGUAAUGUCGGCCAUCAUGCGGGCCUACUGCUCAAUGAGAAUCGAUAUCUGACCCAUAAGUACGAUAGUGGGGUCAACAGGAAUAGUAGCCGGAACAGGCUGGUCGAAUGGCGGAAUAGAAGUGGAAGAAGAGGGAAUAUCUGAAGUGGACGAAGGAACAUCAGAAUGAGGCGAAGGAAUAGCUGAGAGAUCAGCAAGUAAAUCACCCAAAGGAUCAGCGGGUACUGUCGGGUCGACAAGCUUAGUUGGCUCAGCAGGAGCAGAUGCAGAAGCAGAAGAAGUGACACGUGACCUACUUUGAGAGAUGGUAGUAUGACCUAGGGACGAAGCACUUGUCGUGAGACCCCAUCGGGAAAUGAAGCCCCAAGUGAUGUCACCAAGCGGUGGAUCAAGCAAGCAUAUGGAAGACCAAUCCGAUGAUCGGAAGUACGAAAAGUACGCAGAAUGUGCUGGCAAAUGAAGGUAAGUAGGUCAAUCGAGUCCCCAUACAGCAAAACAAAAAGAAACCUCGCCUUUUCCAUAGGUAGGGAAGAAGUGUGAGAGACGGGCUACAGAUUCGUACACACAAUGUGCAAUAAAAUCUGCCCAUCAGUGGGGAACGAACUAGUGUGGAUCGCCUCAGGCCCACCUCCCAAAGGGCUAUUAAACAGAGUGGACCAAACCAGAGAGUCGACCGAAAUAGAAUCAGCCCAGAGAUAUGGGUAAACUAGGUGAAUGACCCGGGGAACAUAUAUGAAUUGGAAAUAACAUUUGGUGAAAUCCUAAAAGUUUGACCCCGAAGGAACACCCAGAAGGACGAACCACUAACGUCAUGGAUGUUCACAUAGAACUCCUGAACAAGAAGACUAGGCGGGGGAUUUAACCCAAUCAGCAAGGAUUCCCAACCUCGAGAAGUAAAGAUAGCUACUACAUCAGGUGAUAGGUCGGAUAGAGUGACCUCACGCUCUACUAGGACAGGACGACGGGAAAACUGUCUCCCAAAUACCUCUUGAGCAGUAGAGGAAAUGAACCUAGAACGACUAAACGAAGCCAAUCCACUACCAGGCUGAGCUAUAGUCCUAGCCCUCUUAGGUGCCAUCUGCAAUGCGAGAUGUAGAAGAUAAAUCAAUCCUAAAGGAAAAAUGAAUUUAUGGAGACACAUGACUGCACAAGUCCUAAAGUUCAAUCACACAAGCCCGAGGAUAAUGACCAAGACGUAAGUGACGUUAAUUAGACAUGAAUAAGAUCAAGAUGAGAUUUUAACACACAAAAAUAAUUUCCAAUAACUAUAGAUAAUUGAUGAUUCCCAUUUCGUAUACACCCUCUAAACUUAGUACAUGCAAAAUCUGUCAGGUUUAAGCACUGACUUGUUAGGUGAUUGUUGUGAAGCUUGAUGACUUAAUCGAAGAAGUGUGUUCGUCACGAUAUUGGAAAGAAGAUCAAAUAAAUAAUUAAUUCACAUAUUUUGUACCUAAGACACCAAUCACACGCGAGGAAUGGCACACAAUGGGCAAGGCAAGUAGGGUUGUGGAGAUGAGACAUUUCAUCAAAAACCUUGCAGGCAUUUGAAACACAAGGAAGAUAACCUACAAAUGUAAUAACGCAAUGGACACCCAACAUACCUUAACAAUACCAACUACCCAACAUUCACGAACCACCCAAUCUCAAAGUUUCGAAGUGGCGAAAAAAAAAAACAAACAAACGAGUGGGUUUAGCAAGGCACUUACCAAUUUGAAACAAGGAACCAACAAGGAAUGCACACAAGGAUGAGGAAUUGAAGCCCCACACGCACGAAAUGGAGUGCAAAUCGAUCGAAGAUGGUCGUGGUGAGAGAAAAUGCGAGAGAGAGAUGGGAAGAAAUGAAAAAAAAAUGAGCCGGAACCCUUCACGAGAAAAUUAAAAGUCUCGCUGUCGCUCGAACGAACAUCGAACGACAAUGCACUGCUUUUGUCGCUCGAGCGAGCGUCCAGUGUCAAGCGAGUGACGGGAAAAUUACAAAAAUAGCACUUAACUUGAAAUUUUGAAAAGUUAGGCCCAGGUUUAAAACUUUGCAAAGUAACAGCACUUUAGAAAUUUCCAAAAAUAGCAAAAUUUUCAUAAAUUUGAAUUUUGACCCCAAGAUUUUUUUUAAUUUAAAAUACACGAACAAUGCAGAGCCAGUUGGUCCAAUCAAAGGUAGUAGAUCACAAAUACGGCAUACACAGUGAUUAGAAAAUGUUUCCCCACACAUCGGGACCAAGUACAGAUGGAGUAAAUUGUAUAUGUAACCCCUCGUGAAACGUGCCACUCAUUCCAAGCAAGUAAGACUCAAAACCUUAAAUUUGUGAGAAGGGACAGCCAAAUCACCUAUGUAGGAGUCAACACUUAGACGUUUGAAGGUCAAAUCCAAUGCCACUAGGACCUAUACUUCGUUAAAAUAUAGUGUAAAACUGUUCUUUCUCCCCCUGUCAUUAAGGACCUCCAUUUUUUUUUAUUUUUUUUAUUUUUUUGUUAAUCUUACGUACAAUCCCAUCUCCAUUAAGCUACGAGGAAGACCCCUAUAACGAGCAUUGGGUUGGUGACUCCCAAACUAGUUGGUUUUAGGGCACCAGGUUAUGAGAAACCCCUCAAACUUAAUUGCUCGAGUCAUCUAGGCUUCGAAGAUAGGUAUAAGAUGUGAUAUAAUAAAUACGUUGUGGAAACACUCGGGGAUACAUCAGAAGUUAGGUCAUCUAGUCCAAGAUCAAUUCAAAUCCAAUGUCUACACAACGACAAAUGAUAGCCACCUCAAGUCUCACACAUACGGUCAAGACUCACUCACAUGGUCCUAGUGUGUGUUAUGCAAAUAUAAUAUGAAGUAACAUAUACUAAGUACUCCAUACAGACUUAAGAUAAGUGAUGGGAAUUAGAAACUAAUCUUGUAUAGACUGUACAUUUGAUUUCAAAUUGCAACUCCGAGUGCCAACUACAAUGCAAAAAUGACACGUAAUGAUCAAUCCCCCUUUUUUAAUAUAUAUAUAUAUAUAUAAACAAAGUGACAGAGAGAUGCAAAUGAACACAAAGAAGCAAUAUAAUGAAUGGAGAAAAGAAUGCAUACAUCUAUGAAGAUGAUCAGGGAGGAACACAGCUACCAACAGCCUUCCUAAGUGACUCGAAUCUAAAUCCAUCUAGAGGUUUAGUGAAUAUAUUGACAAGUUGAUUUUCUGUAGAGAUGUAUUCAAGAGAUAUCACAUUAGAUUUAACUAGCUCUCGAAUAAAGUGAUGUCGAAUGUCAAUGUGUUUGGUCCUAGAAUGCUGAAUAGGAUUUUUUGAUAUGUUGAUAGCACUAGUAUUGUAACAGAAAACAGUCAUAGUACCCUGAUUUAUCUCAUAGUCACUCAGCAUUUGCUUCAUCCAAAGCAGUUGAGUGUAACAACUAACAACUGCAAUGUAUUCUGCCUCGGCUGUGGACAAGGAGACUGAGUUUUUUUCUUACUCAUCUAUGAGACAAGAUUAGAACCAACAUAGAAACAUCCGCCCGAGGUACGUUUUCUAUCGUCGACAUUUCUGGCCCAAUCGACAUCAGAAUAGUCGGCUAGUUCUAGAUUGGACUCUCUGGAAUACAAGAUCCCAUAAACUACUGUCCCAUUGACAUAUCUAAUAAUGCGCCUUACUGCACCUAGAUGGGACUCCUUAGGAUAAGCUUGAAAUCUAGCACAUACUCCAACACUGAACGCUAUGUUAGGUCUACUGGCUGUAAGAUAUAGUAGAUUGCCUAUCAUAUUCCUAUACACAGUCCGAUCAACACUUACCUGUAGUAUCAUGUCCUAACUUAACAUUUGUGCUCAUGGGUGUCCUUGUGUGUUUCUUACUGUCCAAGCCAAAUCUCUUCACAAGGUCUUUGACAUAUUUUGAUUGAGAGAUAAACAGCCCACAAUCAGUUUGCUUUACUUGAAGACCAAGGAAGUAACUUAGCUCUCCAACCAUGCUCAUUUCAAAUUCUUAUUUCAUGCAUUCAGCAAAUUCAAGAGCAAAGGAGUCAAUGGGAGAGCCAAAGAUGAUGUCAUCGACGUAGAUCUGAGCUACAGUGAUAAUUUCUUUAAUAUGUCUAAUGAAUAAGGUUCUGUCAGCACCACCUCGUGAGAAUCCAUGCUCAACGAGGUAAGAGGUGAGUCUGUCAUACCAAGCUCUAGGAGCUUGUUUCAAACCAUACAGUGCUUUAUUGAGUUUGUAGACAUAAUGAGGAAAACUUAGGGUCAAUGAAUCCUUUCGGCUGUUCAACAUACGCCUCUUCUUGAAGUAUUCCAUUCAAGAAUGCACUCUUGACAUCCAUUUGAUAUAGCUUGAACCCUAAGGUACAUGCAACCGCAAGAAGAAUAUGAAUGGAUUCAAGACGAGCAACUGGGGCAAAAGUCUCAUCAAAAUCUACCCCUUCUACCUGAGUGUACCCUUGGAAAACUAGUCUAGCCUUAUUUCUAGUUAUAGUACCUUGGUCAUCGGUUUUGUUCUUGAAGACCAACUUAGGUUCAAACGAAUUGAUUAAGCUCUUCAUGCAUGACAUUCACCUAGCAUUCAUCUCUAAGGGCUUCCUCUACUUUCGUAGGUUCAAUCUGGGAUACAUAGCUAGUAAAUGUUAGGUUAUUUAGAACUCUUUUUCGCAACCUCAUACCUUCAUCUAAAUCCCCAAUGAUGUUAACCUUAGGAUGAUUAGAUUUGACCCUGGAAGAUGGUUCCCUAGGAAGCUUAGACUGAUUCCAAUUUGGUAGACCCUGUUCAAAUAUGUUUUCUGAGGAGCGUGGAGAUUUUGGGAUUGAUUGCUCUUUAUUUUUUGCAGUGGCUCCUUGAUCUUCAUUUAGAUCUUCUAUGUCAACCCUAUUUUCAGCACUCUCUCCCUCAGUAAAAGCAUCAUCAAUAACAACAUUUACAGAUUUCAAGACACUCUGAGUACGCAAGUUGUAAACUCGGUAGGCUCUACUAUUCUUAGAAUAUCCUAGAAAAAUCUCAUCAUCACUUUUGGAAUCAAACUUGCCUAGAUUUUCUCUAUCCCUCAGAAUGCAACACUUGCUGCCAAACACCCGAAAGUAUUUAACAGUAGGCUUCUUGCCUUUCCAGAUCUCAUAGGGAGUCUUGUCUGAUUUCGGUCUUAAGUAUACCCUAUUUACUAUGUGGCAUGCGGUGUUAAUAGCUUCACCCCAGAAAUGCAUUGCUAGACCCCUGUCGUGAAGCAUGGCCCUAGCCAUUUCUUGAAACACUCUAUUCUGCCUCUCAACAACUCCAUUUUGCUGUGGAGUGAUUGGUGAAGAAAACUUAUGCUUAAUUCUCUCCUCCAAACAUAAAUUUUCUAGAUUGAAGUUUUCAAAUUCUUUCCCAUGAUCACUUCGAACCCUAGAAAUAGGAAGGUUUUGUCCAACUUUGAGUCUUUUACACAAGGACUUAACCAGAUCACUUGUCUCAAAUUUUUCCAUUAACAGUUCAAUCCAGGUGUAUCUAGAAAAGUCAUCUACCACAACCAGAAUAUACCGUUUGCCUACUAGGCUCUCUACCCUAGAUGAUCCCAUUAAAUCCAUAUGGAGAAGCUCUAGGGGUCUAUUCGUUAAGAUUUUCAAGGUUCGCUUAUGGUUUAUCUUGAGUUGCUUCCUUGUUGACACGGCUUGCACACAGCAUUCUCACUUUGAUCAAUCUUAGGCAAACCAUCGACAAUCUUCUUUUUAACUAAUUUAGACAGACUUCUGUAGUUAACAUGACUGAGCCUUUGAUGCCAAAGUUUAGACAUAUCAAUUUUAGCACUACUGCAUACAUAGUUCGAGUUUGGAAGAACUCCAUAACAAUUAUCAGAUGGCCUAACACCUUCAAGAACAACAUCACCAGAAGCAUCAUAAACAGUGCAUCUCUUUUAGACAAAACUCACUUCAUAAUCAACAUCACAGAUUUGACUAAUGCUCAAUAAGUUGGACUUAAGACCCUCUACAUAAAGUACAUUGGAUAUUGUAGGAAGUCCAGCAAUGGUGAUGGAGCCUUUACCUCAGAUGGUUGUUGUAGCUCCAUCCCCAAAGGUAACUACACCACCAUUGCAAUCAUCAAAGGUAGAUAAUAAGGCCUUGUUACCACACGUGUCUAGAACAAGUACUAUCAAGAUACCACAUGCAUGUAUUUUGAGCCUUAUAUGCAACAUGAGCAACAAAACAUUUUAGAUUCUCAGUAUACUCACCUACAUCAUAUUUCUUUACCCAAACUUUUCUCAACGUCGAGGUGAUCCUAGUCAACCUCGUUACCAUCUCAGUUAAGUAGCUAACCUGAUUUGAAAGGAAGUUCACUUGACUAGGGAUAUCCUGACUUCGAUUCCUAUUUGCUAGCUUUCGGCACCUAGGUCUCGUGUGGCCUAAGGCACCACAGUGAUGACAAGUGGGUAUAAACCUAGGUUCAGAUGCACGUGAGUGUUGAUCAUGAAAAUUAGGUGUAGAAAUCUUAUGAGCUCUAGUGGCCUUCAGUCCGGUGAAAUUUUUUUCUUUGAAUUCUGGAUUUGUUGAAACAUUAGAUCUGUUGGAAGUGGGGACAAAUGUGGUCUUGGAUAAACUAGACACAUUGCUAUCACUCUUCACAAAUCCUAGACCUUGCCUAUUUCCAGCUGAUUUGUUCAUUCCUAACAGAUCGACUAGUUUCUUAGUUCCACUUACAAAUGACUAUAGUUGAGUGCUGGAUUUCUCUAAUUCACAAGUCAACGUCUUGACCCUGUCCUCUAAUUUCUCAUUGACACACUUCAACUCACUGAGAUUUUUAGAUGAGACUUGAAUAUCAUAGGUGAUUUUCUCCUUCUCUCUCUCAAGCUUGUCUACCUUCUUAAAUAGGGAUUUAUUUACCUUUUUGAUCUUGAGACUUUCCUUAAACAGAAGUUGAUAAGCCUCAUGUAUAUCCGUCUCAUCCUCUGAAUCAUCACCGGACUUGUUACUCUCCACUCCCUCCUCAACAUUCUCACUUUCCUUGUCUGGCUUGCUCUUGACAAUAGAUACAAAAGCCAUAUAGCCCUUUUUCCUCCUCACUGCUUGAGGAAUCACUUUGUUCACUUAAAUUAGAAUCAUCAUCAGUCAAGGACACAACUAAUGCCUUGCUACUUCCCUUCUUUAGAUUUUUCUUAAAACUAGGACAUUCAUUUCUAUAGUGCCCAAAUCCCUGAGACUCAUAACACCUAACCACUUGAUAUUUCUUACCAGGGUUCCUAGCAGUUGAUUUAUCAUCCUUCUCUUUUUGCAAUUUACUAGGGGCUCCUCUCUUUUUCUCUUGAGGCCAUUUUUUGCCCUUUAAGACUUUCUGGAAUCUUUUCACAAAGUGGGCAAUCUCCUCAUCUCUAAGAGUUUCCACGUCAGAUGAUUCAGACUCCCCUUCCCUAACAGUGUUCAGGGCUAUGGACUUGUUUUUCCUCGAUUGUGAAAUGGUGAGUUCAUAGGUUUAAAUGGAUCCUACGAGUUCUUCUAUCUUAAUUGUAUCCAGAUCCUUACUUUCUUCAAUAGCUGUAAUUUUAGGUCUAAAUCUCUCGGGCAAAGAUUUAAGAACCUUCCUCACAAUUUUGGGCUCGGGAAUCCUCUCACCUAGGUUGAAACUAGUGUUAACAAUGCCAUUCAAUUUGGCAUAGAACUUAUCAAAAGAUUCAUCAUCCUUCAUCCUAAUUUCUUCAAACCUUGAGGCCAACAUUUGCAACUUAGAAUUUUUCACAGUUUUAGUUCCUUCAUGCGUUGUCUCAAGAAUGUCUCAUACCUCUUUAGCAGUGUCGUACAUUGACACUCUUCUAAACUCUUUAGGAGACACAGACAUAAAUAAUGCAUGGAGACCUUUACUAUUCCAGUUGCAUUCAGCCAAUUCAUCCUUAGUCCAAAGGGAAAUGUCAGUUGGGGUUACAACACGUGACAUGGUUGUAGAAUGAGGUUUCCAACCAUUUUGUACACUCACUCAGACACGUUCAUCUAGGGACUUAAGAAAUGCACGCAUUCUAACCUUCCAAUAGGCAUAGUUGCUUCCGUCAAAAUAUGGAGGCACAGACAGUGAUUGACUCAUCUAGAUAAUUAUAGGUCAGGACUCGAUAUUUGGCUCUGAUACCACUUGAGAUAUCGUAGUUUGAGCCAAUCAACACCUAGAGAGAGGGUAAAUAGGUGUUUAUACAAAAUUAUCUUUUUCAAUCAAUUAAUAAUUGCAAUACGUCACAAAUAUUAAUUUGUUUAGAUCAGUUCACAUGCUUUACUAUCCUAUAUUUGAAUACCGGUCAUAAAUUAAUUACAGAAAGAUAAAUAACACAAUUUUUUGAUGAUGGAGAAACCCCAAUGUAGGUAAAACUUCGUGCCCAAGCCAGUAGGAAUCCACUAUAAACGAAAAUGAAACUUACAAUCAGCCAGACUCAACCUACACUGGUUUUUCUGAUAUCCUGACCAUAGUUUCGUCAAAGCCUUCCUGGAAUGCAUGAUCCUGUACCAACUCCUGGCACCUAGCCCUCCUGGAUUGCGUACUACACCAAUUCUCGGCUCUUGAUUUUGUCUAUCUCCUGUGGAUUCAAGAGAACCGUCUGUUCUCUAAUGAUCGGGACUUCGAUCUCCUUUCUCGAUCUCCAAGAAUCAACAAAGCUCUAGAAGGUUGUGUUUUGGUGUUUGGUGAACGUUGAUUUGAUAUUUUUUUAUGUAAUUGCUCAAAUCAAAUAUGGGGUUGAAUGAGAGAAUCAAAGUGUAGGAGAGUUUUCUUCAAUUUCAAUCCCUUGAGAGCACAACUGAAAAUCGGUUCAAUUUUUCUUAUAUGCCGUAUAUUUUGAUAUUUUGGUUGGAUUGAAAUGUCGAAAAAAGGAAAAUAUGGUUUUAUGGGUAACAAUGUCGCUCGAGCGAAAAGCGAGCAACGACCUUUCUGUUUUUGUUGCUCGAGCAACCACUUGGCAAGCAGCUAGCGAAACUUCAAUGACACAUCUUACCCUACUUCAUAGCUCGAACCCUAGUACACUUUGUCAAAAUUUCAACUGAGUCCCUCAUCUUUUACACAUGUACACAAUGAGCCCUAACCUUUAACUAUUGACAAAUUGACCCCAAACUUUUGAAAUUUUACAAUUUUACAUUUUUGUUCAUAGAAUAGCCAACACGAAAUCUAACAAUCUCGAUUUCACGUUUAAAACUAUUGAGUGAACUAUAUAUUCACCACGGGGUCCAAAUUUUAUUGAAAACUUGAAUUCAUUCAUUUUCAUGUGGAUACCAAUGCAAUAAAGUAAAAUGGACAUGAAAUUAACUACAAUGAUAUCAAACCAUUUAAAACAAUAGCAUGCCUUUUUUUAUUCCAAGGAUUUGAAUUCACUCCAAAACCUGUCAAUCAUAUUUUGGACAUCUUAUCAGAUUUGAACAAGUUAAACAAGCUAUUUGUUGAUUAUCUAAUUUUGGAAUAUAAUUGAAUUUGAGUUACUUAACUUCAUUCGUAAUUAAGUCUAGUGUAGUUUACUCACAAAACAAUAGUGUUGGUCACUACCACGUAAACUUUAUAUCGACUGUGGUGCCCAAAUUUAGUGAAGACUUGCAUUCGUUUAUUUUUAUGUGAAUAUUAGUGCACAUAAAGUUAAACGGGCACGAAUCAAUUGAAAUGAUACCUAGCCAUGUAAAAUGACAACUCUUUGUUUUGAGUUACGAGAUCACGAUUUUAUUACAAAAUUAGCCGAUCAUAUUUUGGAACAUAUUAGAAGACUUGAAUAAGUUGAGAUAAUUUGUUGAGUAUAUUAUCUUCUAAUUGAAAUAUAAUGGAAUUUUAGUCACUUAUCUUCGCUUGUAAUGAAGGCUAGUGUAGUUUACUCACAGAAAAUAGUGUUGGUCCCCAUAAUGUGAACUUCAUACUGAUUGUGGUGUCCAAAUGUAUUAAAAAUUUCCAUUCAUUCAUUUUCAUGUAGACACAAGUGCACAUAAAGUGAAAUGGACAAAAAUUUAAUUGAAGUGACACCUACCCAUUUCUAAAACAGCAGCAUUCCAUUUUAUGUCCAAGGGUCUUGGUGUGACUUCAAAACUAGUCGAUCAUACUUUGAAAUAUCUUAGAAGCCUAGUAAAGUUAAGUGAUUUAAUUAUUUGAGUAUCUUGUCUCAUAAUUGGAAUAUAAUGGAAUUUGAGUUACUUACUUUGUUUCCAAUGAAGUCUAGUGUAGUUUACUCACAGAGCAAUAAUGUUGAUCACCAUCAAAAGAAAUCUAUAUAUUGCCAGUGUCCAAAUAUAGUAAAAUUUUUUAACUCGCUCAUUUUUAUACAGAUACGAGUGAAUAUAAAGUGAAAGAAAUACAAAAUAGUUGAAACGACAUAUAACCAUUUUGGAUCAUGGUGUUUUGCUUUCACUCAAGAACUAGUUGAUCUUAAUUUUGAACAUCUUUGAAGACUUACACAAGUUAACUAAGCCAAUUUUUUGAGUAUCAAGUCUAGUGUAGUUUACUCAUGGAAUAAUAUUGUUAAUCACUAUUGGAUGAACUUUUUCUUAUCGAUCUUGGUACCUAAAUAUAAUGCAAACUUGCAUUCUUUAAUUUUUAUAUGGAUGUGAGUGAAGAAAAAAGUGAAAUGAACACAAAAAUAGUUGAAACAGUACCUAGUAGAUUAAAAUGAUAGCAUGCCACUUUGAAUUACAGAGUCUCGAUUUUAAUUCGAAAUUAGUCGAUCAUAUUUUUGAACAUCUUAGGAGAUUGAUGCAAGUUAAACGAGUCAAUUUGUUGAGUGUUUUACCAAUUCAUCUCUCAAUUGAAAUGUAAUGGAAUUUGGGUUACUUACUUUCGUUUAUAAUAAAGUCUAGUGUAGUUUACUCACGGAACAAUAUUAUUGAUCAAUAACGGGUGAACCUUUUGCAUUGACCUUGAUAUUCAAAUAUAGUGAAAACUUUCAUUCGAUCUUUUUCAUAUGGAUACAAGUGAACAUAAAUUGAAACAAUCACAAAAAUAGUUGAAACGACACUCAGCAGUUUAAAAUGAUAACAUGUCAAUUUGGGUUACAAAGUCUCAAUUUCACUUCAAAAAUUAAUCAAUUAUAUUUUGAAACAUAUUAAAAGAUUCACACAAGUUAAACGAUAUUAUUUGUUGAAUAUAUUAUCUCAUAAUUGGAAUAUUAUCGAAUUUGGGUUACUUACAUUCGUUCGCAGUUAAGUCUUACAUUCUACUCACUAAACAAUAGCGUUGAUCAUUAUUGCGUGAAUUUUGUAUCGACACUGGUGUCUAAAUGUAAUAAAAAUUUGUAUUUGUUUAUUUUUAUGUAGAUACGAAUUAAAAUAAUGUGAAACAAAUACAAAAUUAGUUGAACUGACACCUGAUCAUUUAAAAUGACAACAUGCCUUUUGGGUUAAUAGGUAUCGAUUUUAGUCUAAAUAUAGUGAAAACUUAUUUACAUUAAUUUCAUUUGGGUACGAGAGAAUAUAAACCCUUGUUUGAGACCCAUUCUUUGAAAAAAAAAAUCUUGACCUUGGAUGAAUGGAUCUUUACCAUGUACAUAUAAUUUACUAAGAGACCUUUGUCGUGUUCUAGAAUUGAUUAUGAGUCUUUGGGACCCGCUUCCGUUCAUCGAGAGAGCUUAAGGCCCUUGUCAAAAGUUCUUAGCCCGAGGAGUAGUCUACGUGCGUAUGACCAGAUUACACAUGUUAGUCAAAUGGUACAUUUUUGUUGGAUUUUUCAAUACAUUUGAUGUGAUGAGUUAUAGUAUGGAUAUCAAUUAAUGUUUAUAUUAUGACUAUGAGAUGAUGUUUGCUAUGAGAAUAUCUCAUUUCUGGGCUAUAAUUGCAUGACGUUAUCCUAUAAAUUAUUAAAUGAUAUGAACUCAAUUUUCGAUAAAUAUAUAUAAAUGAGAAAGUAUAACUAUUUUCAAAAUUUUCACUCACUAAGCUAUUAACUCAUAUAUUUUUCUACGUUUUGCCUUACAGGUAGCAAUUGGUUCUAGAUAGCCUGAAGAGCUUGUGAUUUCAGAGUUUUACCUAUACAACAUGUUGAGUUAUAUGAUUUAUUUUGGUAGAGCAUGAAGUAAUUAUUUUGGACCCAUUAUAUUUCAUAAGAAUUUGAUUUUAGCAUAUAAUUACUAAUAAUUCAUAGUCAACCUUGGUGAUGAAUCUGACAUCUAGUCAACAUCCACCAUCGGUACACGUCACCUUAUGGGUCCAUUAGGAUGAUUCGAGGCGGGUCGUGUCAAAAUGGAAUCAGAGCAUGAUUUUUACAAUUUUUAUAGUUCAUGCAUUAGCAUAUCAUGCAUAUUCGAUGUGUAUGCCCACAUAUCUUGGUGGCAAAAAUAAUAGUCUCUGAAGCUCGAAUGUAUGGAACACAAAAUGACAGAAGAAUAUUUUUCGCAGAUUUAGAAAUGAUUAAUAUGUAAGUAUGUAAUUACAAUGAUCUGUUGGUUUUGCAAGUUGUUUACAUGUAAGCAUUCGAAGCGAUAGAGGCAAAACCACAUAAGUGCUAAUUUAUAAGUAAGGUAAUAUGAUCUUUGGAUCUAGUUAUAGCUUGCACUAUAAAACCUGUUAGAGGAGCACGUGACACCCUCCAUUGGUAAGGGGUCUGUGCCCACCCCCGGAUGGACAUGGCCUACGUGGCUCUGAUCGUUUAGAAAAAUCCUUGCACUAUAAUUAAGUAAAUGAUAAUAUUUUUUUUAAUUGGCAACAAUUAGGUGAGAAAUCUUAAUUAUCUUGGAAAGCUAAAUGGACAUUAGCAUUAUAGAAAUUUUGUGGUGAUUUGUGGCAACUUAUAACGGAGAAUGAUAGAAAUCAUGAUGGUAUAUACUUAUGUUAUAUGAUAGAACCUUGCAGAGGACAAAAUGAUGAUGUUAUAUCGAAUAGUGAUUGAGAGUACAAUAUCUUAUUAUAUAUUAGGCAUUGAGGAAAUUAACAUUCAUGUGACUCUGAUCAUUUUGAUUAGUUAUAGGUUAUUUGAUUAAACAGGAGUUGAGAAAAAUAGGAAUAAACUUUAUAAUGAUUACUUAUUAUGGAUUAAUUUGUUGUUUAAUCAAUAGAAUCAAAUCGAUAUGUGCGUUUAGGUAUGUUUAUGUGAAUUGAGUAAGAAGAUAAAAAUGAAAUCAGGAAAGGUUCCUGUGAUAAAUACAAAAGUUACAAUUUUGUGAAUUUAUGGAAAAUUGAUACAAUUAAAUGUUUGAGUUUAUAUGGUAUGAUGGAUAAUGACAAGUUUGUAUGAUCACAACAUGAUAUGGUAAAUAGCAAGUAAAUUAAUGUUAAGGUUGUUCUAUAGAAAAAUAAUGUGAUGAUGUAUUUGGAUUACUUAGUUAAUUAAUCUUGUCAUGGCCAUUUAUUUGAUUAUUUUAUUAUAUUACAUACAAUUGGGAAGUUUUAAGCAAAGUUAUGAAGUUAAGAUUAAUUUAAUAAAAUUUCGGUGAUAUAACUUUUGGGUUAUUUUUUAUUGUAUUUUUGAAUCUCAUGAAUAAAGUAUUCCAUUCUUAUUGAGAUCAAUUUGUUGUAGAAUAUAUGGAUGAUACGUUGAUAGCUUGAAGUCUAAGACAAUCAUCAAAUGUAAAUUUUACUCUAUCGUGGAAUGGUAUAUUUAGGUUACAUUAUUAUAAUCAAAAAGUCUUUAUGUGAUAUAUAAUAAGACUUAUGCAUUAGUAAUAUAUCAAUGUACUCUUUAUGGAAUAAGAGUAUAGAAUUAUCAUGGAUUAAAUGUUAUUAUUCUCUUUUCAUAUAAAGAAAAAGCACAAAAAUUCUGUGGAUUUAGAAAUGUAAAAACUUUUGCUAUCAGAAUCUCAUAACUAAAUAACUUUUGAGGAAAUAUUUGCUCUUGUAUCUAAAGCUGAUGAGAGUUUGAUUUAUGAUAAUGAAUUAUGUUAAAGUUUAGGAUGUGUUCUGAGUAAAAUGCUAAAUUAUGAAUUAUAUUGUAGAUUGUUGAAGAGGCAUGAUUACCAAGGUUUAGAGUUGGUUAUAUUAGGGUUGAAUUUAGAAAUUGUGGUGUUAUCACAUUUCGAGAAACAUCGAUACUUAUCGAUCUCCAAAGUUUAUAGUAUAUUUAUAUUCAAAAUGGUUGAAAUUGAAGUUGUGUAAAUAUUAUAAUUGAGUGAUAUAGAAUUAAAAGAAAAUAACACCAUGUUGAGCUAUCUCAGUUGUUGUUGGGGAUAACUUGACUUUUAUAAAAAUCACAAUGGAAUUUUUGCAUAUAUUGUCAAUUUAAAAUGGAAGUAGUUAUCCUCAAAUAUUUUUCUUUUGGGGUUCCAAGUACACAAAAUGGUACUUUGAUCAUUAUUUACAGAUCGAUAAAAGUUACAAGAUUCUUUUCAAAUGAUGUAGUUAGUUCAUGGGGUAGAUUUAUAAAAUUAUGUAUAGAUAAGAUUGUUAUUUAUAUGGUGGAGUUUGAGUAUUUACCUUUGGCUUAGUUGUAGGGAGUUAUAUAACUAAAUUACAUUGUGUAGUUGCCUUUAAUUUUAUGUCAUAUACUAAGAAGACAAGUUCAAAAGAGAGGCUAUCAACUAUGGUUUAUUAAGUAAAGCAGACUUGUAUAAUCAUUUAUUUUUCACGGAAUUGACUUACAACUAGAUAAAAGUGACGAUAUUUGAAGUUAUAUAUGAUAUUAAAAUAUUCCAAUGACAUAUUUAUUGUGAUGAAAUUGGCAAACAAAAGUUAUUCGAUCUUAAUACGUAACCAUUGUUAUAGAGAAAGGAUUUGAUUAGAAAAUUGUUCGAAUCAUGCCAUUAGGUAAAGUUUUAGAGAACAUGAAAAGUAGUUUUUUGAAUUUCAAAUUGGGAAAAUAAUUGAUUUUUUUUAAGGUUUAGCAAAGCGAAAAACUAAAAAAGUAAAUUAUUGGUCAUUAAGAUGUCAUUUAAACCCUAGGUCCAAUUAUUGAUCGAUGUAUUUUACAACAGGCUUAUCUGAUAUUUGAUAAUGUAUCCUUUUUUUCUAAGGCUUAGUAAAUAGAUAUCAAAUUUAAAUUAUAUGGUAAGGUAUUAAAGAGAACUCAACCUUGUACAGCUCAAGUGAUCUCGAUUUUGGAAAAGACAAAGAAGAAGAAAAGAAUGAGUUAUUUGCAUUUAAAUUAGUGCGAUAAUUAAAGGUUCAUGGAGGAAUCAUGUAAUAGAAAGGGUGAUAAGGGAAAGUGAAGAGCAGAGGCAUUCUCAGUAUCUUCAGCUUUUGUUACUUAGUUUGUAGAAUUUCGAGGACGAAAUUCUUUGAAGGUGAUGAGUUUUGUAACCCAAUUAAACUAAAAUAGAAUAAAAACAAAAUAAUUGUCAAAAUCCAAAAGUAUGGUCAACGUUGUCAAGCUAAUUUUAAAAAAUAAAAUUAAUCACAUGAAAACCAACAAAAAGUCGACAAGUAAGGCGGUGGCACCAAAUUUUAAAAAAAAACCAAUUAUGUAUAAAUCCAUUUUCACAUUCAUAUCUCUAUAUAUACACAUGCCAACAGAGAAAAAAUGAGGGACAAAGAGAAAGAAGAAAGAAAAGACGAAAGAUGGGGAGGAAGAAGAAAAGGAAAGGAAAAAAUAGAAAAGCUAGAUGACGUGAUCAAGAACUAAGUGCUUUAUACUAUUAAGCUUAAAUUCCUCAAUUUUGAAAGGUAAGUUAUGUUAAAUUUGGGAUUGUUGAUUUAUUAGUUUAUAUUCAAUUUUAUCGAACAAGAGCUAUUGAAUUGAGUAUGAUAAGGUAUGCAAUUAAAUUAAAGGAAAGAAAAAUUAGCUUAGUUGAUUAAAAGAAGUUGAAAAUUUGCUCAAAUAUAACAAUAGUAGGCUUUAGUGGCACCUGUUUAAUUAUUGAAGUUACUUAAAAUGUUUAAUUGUUAAUUUAGACGGUACCUCAUAUUUCAAGCGACAACAAAGAGGUCAAGACAACUUACAAUCGAGUUGAUUUCACUUACAUAAUUCUGUGAGUAGAAAAAUUUAGAUAUUUCUAAGUAUUGAUAAAUUAAUUAUACUAUUAAAUUAUGUACAAUUAUGUGAAUUAUUUAUUCGAUUACAUGAUUAUUAUGAAGGUUUCUUUGACUAUGAUAUAUGCGCAAUUUCAAAUAUUGUAUAUGGAAUAUUUGUGAAUUGGAAUGUGAGACAUGUGUGACAUUGAGAUAAACUAAAAAAGUACCUAUGAUUAUAUAUUUCUUCUAGUUUAUGAGGGGCUUUGGCCGUGUUUUAUCUUACACGAAGGGGUCUUGAAUGUGGAUAAAUGAAUUUUCACUGUGUACAUGUAGUUCACUUUGGGGCUUUAGCCGUAUUUUAGAAUUGAUCAUGGGAGGUUUUUGAGACUCGUUUCCAUUCACUGAGGGGCCUAAGGCUCGCGUAAGGAGUGCUUUACCCAAGGAGUAGUCCACGCGGGUAUGACCAAAUUACAAGAUGUUAGUCAAAGGGUACAUUUUCUUUUGAAUUUUUCAGUACAUUUGAUGUGAUGAGAUUAUAGUAUGGAUAUCAACUAAUGUUUAUAUUGUAACUAUGAGAUGAUAUUUUAUAGUGUUUUGAGAAUGUCUCACUUCUUGACUAUAUUACAUGAUGUUAUCCUGUGAAUUAUUAAAUUAUAUGAACUCGAUUUUCGAUAAAUGUAUAUAAAUGAGAAAGUAUAACUAUUUUCAAAAUUUUCACUCACUGAGCUAUCAACUUAUAUAGUUUUUCAUGAUUUUUCUUACAAGUAGCAAUUGGUUCUAGAUAGCUUGAGGAACCUGGUGAUUUCAAAGUUAUAGCCACAUGACACAGAGUUAUAUGAUUUAUUUUGAUAGAGCACAAAAUAAUUAUUUUGGGCCCAUUGAAUUAUAUUUUUCAUAAGCAUUUGAUUUUGGCAUGUAAUUAGUAGCAACUCAUAGUCAGUAUUGGUGGUGGAUCUGAUAUCUAGUCAGUAUACACCAUUGGCACACGUCACAUUUUAGGUCCAUUAGGGUGAUUCAGGACUGGUCAUAUCAUAUGUCCCUAUGUUUGGUUAGUUUGACAACUUUGAAAUUUCACUUCCAACCUACAAGAAAAGUGAAGUGUAUUUCAAUGUGAAACAUGACAGAUUUUUAGUUGUUUUUGAAUUUUUUUUUUAUAAGAUAUUAAGAUAUAUAUAUCACUACAUUUGUCAAAUUAGUCUUUGUUUGAUUUCUUCAAAAGAUAAAGUAGAAAACAACUAACUAAUAUGAAUCUCGUUAAAGUCCUUCAUAUUUAUAAAGUCUAAGUCCUUGAGAAUGAUACGAUCAAACAUUCAUCUCGAUCAUCAAAUGGUAUUCUCCAUCCAUCAAAAAACUGCUUCCAUCUUUGACAACUACAAAUAUGAAUGUCCAAUGUUCGGAAUACACAAGGCAUUAAUGACAUGCAUAAUUAUAGUUAUAUUUUCAACGUCAUAUAACACAAAAUGAACUCCAAGUAGAUAAGCAUAACAUCUUUAGGCUUAUACAUAUGUUAACUCAAAUUGCUUAUAAAUCUUACAUUUUUCUUUGCGGAAUAAAAAGGGAUUUUAGAGUAUCAGUAUCUUUGUCAAGGUAUCCUAAUCCUCGUUUCAAAGCUAAAAUUUAUUUUUCAAAGCUUACUACUGCCCUUUGAGGGCUUUUGAGGCUAAAGCAUCGAGAAAUCCUUAUUAUGUUAAUAAAACUCCACUCCAUUAGCCAAUUUAUCUCCUUAGGUCGAUCAUUUCAAGUUUUAACACAACUUGCUCCACUUCAAAGGUUUUUGUGUAAUUUUUCUUCAAAAAGUGCACAUGAAUUUUGAGAGAAUGAGAUGUAAAAUUUGUAUUAUUGAGAGUGAAGUAUAAUUGAAAUAAUAGUAAAAUGUCAUGGAAAGGGAUUUUGAAUAAGAAUAAUACUAUUUGCAGUCACUCACUGUCGCAGUCGCGUCACGUUACAUGCAUGUGACGGUUAAUGAUUUAGUAAAUGAGGUAAGAACAAACUACCAUAUUAAUAAAUAUAAUUACAAACCGCCAUGUAGGGUGUCACGUAAGGCGAUUAUCACAGUGAACGACUAUAAAUAUCAUUACUAUUUAAAUAAAGCUUAUGGGGUAAUUUAGUCCAAGCAAUCACCUUACUAUAUAUAAGUAUAAACUUACCCUUCAACGAAUCUAUUUGAGGGUCUGUAUUUGUGGUUUCAGUUUCAUAUAGAAGAGUACAAUAAUCUGAGCCCAUUUUUGUGAUACUUUGAUUCCUUGGUAAAAUUGUAUAGAGUUAUAAAUUUCCUUUAAAUUGAUUUGUAAAUUGGUGUCCGUUACUGUAUGAGUUUUGUAUAAUAGGAAUCUAAUUGACUACCAUAAUGUCCGCUAGCGGAUCUGAGCAUAAACAACAAUACUAGGGUUAUUCUUGUGCAAGGGUUACAAAAUGGGAAAAGGUACCAAUAUAAAAAAUAUGAAAAUAUAAUUUUCUAAUUUAUUAACCAAUAGUAUUUUCAUCAAUAAAUAAAUAAUAAAAGUAAAAAAUUGAUUUCUUUUGGAAAAUCAUAUCAUAAUUGAACAUCAAUUACAAAAACAAUUUAAAAUUACAAAUAGAUUUUCAAUUGGUAAAAUAAAAAUAUUAUUAUUUUGAUAAACUUAAAUUCUUGAAUAAAUCAAAUAAUAAUAACAUAAAAUUGAAUAGUAACAAAAGAAAGAAUUGUUGAGAACAAAAUAACAAUUGAAAAUUAUUUAUUUGCAGAUAAUAUUAUAAAUGAAUUUAAAGAUAAUAGAAAAAAUUUUAAAGGGGUAAUUAGAACAAAAUGCACUAUCUUUUGUCACCGCGUGUAUUAAAUAAUGCCGAGCUGUGGCCUCCACCUCCUAUAGUGAGUAGUAGGUAAAAAAUUUGGUACGUGAAGUACGGUCUUUUAAAUAAUUCUCUACAAAUGCGACUAGAUAAUGAGACAAAAUAUAGGACCUGUUUGAGCCCCAUUAUUUCCUCAUUAAAAUGAAAAAUAUGAUCGUUAUCCAUCAUAUUUGAUUUUUUAUUUCUUGUAUGAGGUCCAUAACGACUAUAUUUUUCAUUUUCAUUUUUAUAUUAAUGUGGCUCAAACGGGAGCAUAGUAUCUUUUCAUCCAUGGGCAAAUGGUCUAACUAAGAAAUAUUAAUUCUAAAAAGGAAAAAUUAGCCAAAACUUUUCAUCUCAAGUAUACAAUUCAAAAACAAAGGGUAAAUUCAAUCAGGUGCCAAUUACGAUUUCAAUUAAUUUACAAUUAAUAAUAUGAUUACUUAAUUUAAUCAAUAUUCUCUCAUAUCUCUCACUGUCCUUUCUACUGUCUCUCUGAAUUAUACCCCCUCAAAUCCUAAAUCCAGAAAAUCCCAUAUCACAUUGCCAUCAAUACCUUCUCUUCUUAGUCGGCAACCAACACCUUCCCUCAACUUCGGCACCAUCACGUGCUUCAUUCACCGAUGCUUCCUUAUCGACCCCGACGCUAUCUAGCUCUAUUAUAAGAUUAGAUGCAGGAACUAACUUCUAAAGAUGCUCACAAUUUUCUCCCCCUUUCUCUUCUCUUUCUCUCUCCUUCCCUCCAUCCCUUUCGACACGGCUACAAGGUAAUCGACACCGCAGUAGUAUCGACGUUGUAAGAGGAUCGACUUCAUUGUGAGAGAAGUGACAUUGAUGCGAGACUCUGACUAGGAACGUCAUGUGACCUCCACCAAACAGCAUCGAUGCUGUUGCAGGUGAACGCCGUUCUCCAUCGUCUUCUUCGAGACGCAGUUCUUCAAGGCCAUUCUCCACUUUCGGCAAAGUCACAGAAAAUGGUAGUGAUGAUGGUGUUGGAAUGGCCAUUGGUCUCGGCAUGGGUGAACCAUGCGACCGCAUGGUUUUGGUACAAUUUUUUGGCCAUUGGAGGCCGUUUUCUCCCGUUGUAAAUUAAAAUUUGGUGACUUUUGGCUUAAAGUUUGGUACCAUUUCGUGAAUGUGGUAUAUGCCGAUAUAUAUUGGAUCCAUGUUGAAGGCAAAAUCAUCACAAAAACAUCAAGGUUCCAUAUUACUUCCAAAAUCAAAUAUCAAAAUCGUUAAAAGUCAUAAUCAUAUUCAUUCUUUGUGUUCUUCAAGUUUUCUAGGAUUUGCACUUGUACUUUAGUACUUAAAUCCUUGCAAGACUUGUUAUAAUCCUGCAAACCAUUUGCCAACAACCUUCGAAGCAUCUAAAAUUCAUAGGAGAAAGGGCAAAUAUCGUUUGAGGAUAACGAUAUCGUGUUCAAGCCAUUCGUUGAUACAAAUUCAUGAUUUUCUUGUUAUUGGCGUUUCCAGUUCAUAUUUUGUGAUUUCUACUCAAAUUCGGUGAAAUUUUUCCUACAAUCUCAAACGAUAUUUCUGCAAUGGAAAGUGAGACAAUGAUGACGUCAAUCAAACUCAUGAAUCAAGACUUGGUGCGAUUAGAUCGGUUUGAUGGAACGAACUACACUCGAUGGAAAGACAAAUUGAAGUUUCUUCUUACUGCACUAAAAAUCUUCUACAUCCUAGAUCCGGAAUUGUCGCCACUACCAGAACCAACAAAUAGAGAAAUCAAAGCGGUGAGAAAUGAAAGACAAAAGCCCCAAGAAGAUGAGUUAAUAUGUCGCGAUCACAUUCUCAACGCCUUAUCGGAUCGUUUGUAUGACUUAUAUACAAACACAACUUCAGCAAAUGAAAUUUGGGAUGAGCUCGAAAAUAAGUACAAAGCGGAAGAAGAAGGUACAAAGAAAUUUUUAAUUUCUAAGCACUUCGAUUUUAAAUUUUUAGACAAUAUUCCCCUUCUUCCCCAAAUACAUGAAAUGCAAGUAAUUGUCAAUAAGUUGAAGGUGGUGAAAAUUGAAAUACCGGAGACCUUUCAAGAGGGGGCUAUAAUUGCCAAACUUCUCGGAACUUGGAAAGGAUACCGUAAGAAGAUAAUGCAUAGUUUCGAAGAUUAUUCUUUGGAACAACUGCAAAAACAUCUUCAGAUUGAGGAAGAGUCGAGAAUACGUGAUAAAAGUGAUUCUCAUAAGGGCACUUCCAAAGUAAAUGUUGUAAAAAAAUUUGAACCGCCAACAAAAUCCAACAAAAGAAAGCCUUUGAGAAAUCCUAAUAAGUUCAAGAAAAAGACCAAAGAAGGAUGCUUUGUUUGUGGAAAAUCUAGACGCUACGCAAAAGAUUGUAGACACCGAAAAUACAAUAACUCCGAGGGUAAAGUGAAUAUCAUCCAACAAGACAAGAUAGUGGCCACUGUGAGCGAAAUAAAUGCAAUUAAUGGAAAGGUUCCCGGCUAGUGGUAUGAUAUUUGUGCCACGGUGCAUGUAUCAUAUGACAAAUUUUUGUUCAAAACAUACAAUGAAAUAAAUAAAGUUGAUUUUGCUUACAUGAUUGAUUUAUUUUCUUUAUGGCAUACUAGAUUAGAUCAUAUAGGUAAAAGUACAAUGAAAUACAUAAGAAAUCAUAACUUAAUUUCAUAUGAUAAAAAUGAUGCCAUUAAAUGCAAAACAUGUGUAGAAGCAAAAAUGACUAAAAAGCCUUAUCAAAGCGUUAAGAGGACUUCUAAUAUAUUAGAAUUAAUUCAUUUCGAUAUAUGUGAAUUGAAUGGCAUGCUAACAAGAGGUAGAAAUAGAUAUUUCAUAACAUUUAUCGAUGAUUGCUCAAGAUAUACCUAUGUUUAUUUGAUGAAACACCAAUAUGAGGCAUUUGAUUUGUUUAAGACUUAUAAGAAUGAAGUUGAAAAUCACUUAAAUAAGAAAUUAAAGACCUUAACAAGUGAUAGAGGUGGUGAAUUUGAUUUAUAUUGUGAACAACAUGACAUAAUUCACCAAUAUUCUGUACCCAGGACACCUGAACUAAACGGUUUGGCUGAAAGAAAGAAUAAAAUCUUAGUAGAAAUGAUUAAUGUCAUGCUUAUAUAUGCUAAGUUCCCGUUUAAUUUAUGGGGUGAAGCUUUAUUAAGUGCAUGUAGGAUACUUAAUAGGAUUCUUUUUAAACAUAUAAAGGUUUCUCCUUAUGAAUUAUGGAAAUGAAGAAAAUCGAACAUUGGAUACUUCAAAGUAUGGGGGUGUCUUGUUUAUUGUAAGAACACAAAUCCUAAUAGGACCAAAUUGGGUCCAAGAGGCAUUUUUGUUGGAUAUACUAAUAAUAGAAAAUCUUAUAGAUUGCAAAACUUGGAGAUCAAUGUGAUUAUCGAAUCAAGUGAUGUAGAGUUCUUUGAAGAUUUGUUAUCAUCGGAUAAUGAAUUAAAGGAAAAUAUUGAAAACAUCCCUAGCUCAAGUGGAAUGCGUGAUGAAAUGUCUUCUAAAGAUGUUGAUGAGUCUAGUGAACCAUGAAGAAGUAAGAAAACUCAAGUUGAGAAGUCUUUGGGAUCGGAUGAAAUUGAUUCUCAACUUAUCUCCUUUUACUUAGUAGAAGGAAAUGAAAUGAAUGUUGUGAGAACAAUUCCUUUUGUUCUACAAGUGGAAACCGACCAUAAAACCUAUAAAGAAGCUAUGGCUUCUCGUGAUAGCAUUUUUUGAAAAGAUACAAUUAAAGAUAAAAUGGAUUCGAUAAUGUCUAAUAAAACUUGGGAACUUGUUGAUCUUCCACCAGGAUCCUAACCUAUUGGAUGUAAAUGGGUAUUUAGGAGGAAAUAUAAUGUUGAUGGCUCUUUAAAUACUUUCAAAGCUAGAUUAGUAGCUAAAGGAAAUCGACAAAAGGAAGGAAUCGACUAUUUUGACACUUAUGCAUCAGUAGCUAGAAUAACAUAGAUUAGGAUAUUAUUCGCUUUGACCUCAAUCUAUGACUUGCAAGUUCAUCAAAUGGAUGUUAAGAUGACAUUCUUAAAUGGGGAUCUCGAUGAGGAGAUCUAUAUGGAGCAUCCCAAAGGGUUUGUUCUACUUGGAAAUGAACAUAAGGUAUGCAAAUUAGUAAAAUCCUUAUAUAUUUGAAGCAAGCACCUAAGAAAUGGCGUGAGAAAUUUGACUUAGCUAUAACAUCAUUCGGAUUUAAACAUAACAGUGUAGAUAGAUGUUUAUAUUCAAAAGUAUAUGAUGAUAAUGUGACAUUUAUAUGUUUAUAUGUUGACGACAUGUUGAUUAUGAGUAAUCACAUGGAUGAUAUAGAAAAAACAAAGAGGUUUCUAUAUUCCACAUUCAAAAUGAAGGAUCUUGGUCAAGUGGAUACCAUUUUAGGUAUCAAAGUCACUAAGACUAGUGGGGGUUAUCACCUAAGUCAAUCUCAUUAUAUUGAGAAUGUGAUAACAAGUUCAAAUACUUGAACAUAAAAGAAUAUAGCACCCCGGUUGAUCCAAGUUCAAAACUUGUAAAGAAUGAUGGAAAGACGAUUACUCAAUUGGAAUAUGCUAGUGCUAUAGGAAGUCUUAUGUAUGUAGUUCAAUACACAAGACCGGACAUAGCCUAUGUCAUACGUAAACUUAGCAGGCUUACUAGCAAUUAGAGCAAUAAUCAUUGGAAGGCCAUUGGAAGAGUUCUUGGAUACUUAAAGAAAACCAAGAACCUAGGCAUGUAAUAUACUAAAUUCCUAGCGGUAUUGGAAAGAUUAAUGAUGCUAGUUGGAUAUCUAGUGCAGGUGAGAGUAAAUCCACUUCGGGUUAGGUGUUCACUCUUGGAGGAUCUUGGAAAUCAAAGAAACAAACAUGCAUAACACACUCGACCAUGAAAUCUGAAUUUGUAGCCCUAUCGAAUACCAAAAAAGAUGUUGAGUAGCUUAGGGAUCUCCCUUAUGAGAUACCUUUGGGAUCGAAGAAUAUUUCUUCAAUAUCUAUCAUAUGUGAUAGUCAAGCCACAUUAGCAAAAGCAUAUAAUGACGUAUACAACGGAAAGUCUAAACACAUGAGUCUUAGACAUGACUAUAUAAGGAAGUUAAUCAAGAAUGAAAUAAUUUUCCUAAAUUAUGUAAGAUCAAUUGAGAAUUUGGCGGAUCCUUUGACUAAAUCUCUAAACAGAGAUAUAGUAGCAUCUACUUCAAGUAGGAUGGAAUUGAAACUCCUUAACUAAAAAGGUUCACCAAUGACAGCAACCCUACAUGUCAUUACUCAAAAGGUAAUUUACGGGUUCAAAGAGUAACAACAAGUCAUUUGAUAUGUAAAUAAUUGCAGCAUUAUUAAAAAAAAAAUCCGCAAUAAUCUCAUCCUAAUUAAAUUAAUGAUCGUUGUUACUGAAAUGAGAGAUGAGCUUUAAACUCUUAAUGAAGUUCAGUGCUAAAAUACAAGUACCUCUAAAGGUAACAAAUGUACUGAAAGAACUUCACCUAAACAAUCUUCAAGGUGGUGCCGCCUUAACAGGGAAUUGUAGUUUCUCUCUUAAAAGAUUGUUGAAAAGGAUAAGCGCAAAGCCAUAAAAGCGCUAAACGAGUUAUGAGAAACUUGAGAACACGUGGUACUCGUGUGUGCGUUCUUACCGGUAUUGUCAUAUGGAAUAAUUGGUUCAAAGCUACACGCUACCUUUGAUUCCGACUAUACUUUGUUUGAAUUACACUAUGGUUAUAUUCAAAUCGAAAGAUAUUUAAUCCUUAUGCAUAAGUAUCGUAUAUCAUAAAUAUGAGAUUUGUUAAUUUUGAACAAGUGGGGGAUUGCGGUGAUUAUGUUGUUCAAAACCAACCAAAAAAAAAGAGUGGUUCAUGCGACCGCAUGGCAUAAAGCCAUGCGCCGAGACCAUUUGGUCUUGGCAUGGGUGAAUCAUGCGACCGCAUGGUUUUGUAUCAUGUGGUCGCAUGAUACUAUUUUUUUAGCCGUUGGAGGCUGUUUUCUCCCGUUGUAAAUUUAAAUUUGGUGACUUUUGGCUUAAAGUUUGGUACAAUUUCGUGAAUGUAGUGUAUGCCUAUAUAUAUUGGAUCCAUGUUGAAGGCAAAGUCAUCACAAAAACACCAAGGUUCCAUAUUACUUCCAAAAUCAAAUAUCAAAAUCUUUAAAAGCCAUAUUCAUAUUCAUUCUUUGUGUUCUUCAAGUUUUCUAGGAUUUGCACUUGUACUUUGGUACUUAAAUCCUUGUAAGGCGUGUUAUAAUCCUGCAAACCAUUUGCCAACAACCUUCGAAGUAUCUAAAAUUCAUAGGAGAAGGGACAAAUAUCAUUUGAGGACAACGAUAUCGUGUUCAAGUCAUUCAUUGAUACAAAUUCGUGAUUUUCUUGUUAUUGGCAUUUCCAGUUCAUAUUUUGGGAUUUCUACUCAAAUCCGGUGAAAUUUUUCCAACAAGUGUUGUUAGUGGUUGUGAUUUUAUUGUUGGUGUUGUGGUGGUGUUGGCGGCGGAGACGAAGAUGUUACCCAUCGUUACAAUCCACCAGGUUUGUUGCAAAUCUUGUUUUUCUUUUCUAGAUUUGAUAAUAGUUGAUUUCUUCCUUAUGAUGGUUGUGGUGAUGAUGAAGGUGAGAUGGAUUGUAAAAAUGGUGGAAAUUUUGGGGGCAAAAGAAAGAUAAUUGGAAUGGUAGUGGUGUUGACAAUGUGACCGUAGUGUUUGUUGAAUGGGAAAUCAUAAGUGGACUUGUUAGGUGUAUGUGCAAAUGAUAGAGUGAUAAUGUAGAAUAGCUCAUGCUGAUCAUCUAGCAACCUCAGUACGGUAGUGAAACUAUCAAAGCUACUAUUCCAAGUUGUGUUCCCCGACUUCCGUCUCAACUCCGCAUCUAGAUGGUAUUUCAUCUUGCAAAAAUUCAAAUAGUAGAACAUUGAAUAAGAGAUAAUGGAAUAAAGCAUAAUCUCAGAAAAUUACGCGAACUGAGUUGUAUCUACUAUAUGCAAGAUCUAGAUUCAUUUUACACCGAAGCUAAUAAAUAAUUUGUGUGCACGUGAGUGUAAUUUUUUUAUUGCACUCUACUAUUCAAAGAUUUACACUGAAAUCUUUGUGAACAUAUGUCUAACAAUGAAUUGUUGUUGCGGCUUAUGUUCAAAUCGGUAUGUCUCUUUCUAUGCAUGAGUUUUUAUGCCAACAUAUACCAUGUUCCAUGCUUGCGUUUUGUAUGAGUAGAAAAAAAUCCUAUUAACAAGAUCUUCGAUGAAUUAUUUCUCAAAGAAUAUACAUCUCUUUGUGUUCUUGAAAAAAAUCACAAAUUAAACAAUUCAAUAUUGAAUUGCUAUUUUUAAAGGAAAAUCAUUUUUUAUUUUAAUAAUAUUCCAGAAGAAUAUUGUAGCUUGAAAAUGAAUAUCAUAUUUGUAUUAUUUUAUUGCUCUUGGAGAAGUACAAAUUCAUACAUAAUAAUAUCUUAUAAUAUUCGAGAAGAAUAUUACUCAUAGAUUUGUCUAUUAUAAACAUUUUGUUUCUCCUAAAAUAACACAAUAUUAUAAUUAAUAUCUAAGAAAAAUAUUAUUUGUGUAUGAAGUAUGAAUUAUAAUUUUCAAUAUUUUAGAAGAAUAUUGAUCGAUUUUUAUGUAAAAUCACGAAUUCAAUUACUCAAUUUCUUUUUAAGUGUCCAUUCUUCUGUAUACGUAUUUAUAUAUCGAUGUUUUAGUUAAUUUUUUUUUUUUUGCUCUAAAUAAGCAUAUUAAAUAGGGAAAAUUGCAGCCGAGGUAUCAAACCUUUCGUUUAUUAGUAGACUUUUCCCAAACCUUUAGUUUGUACCAGCCACAGUCCCAAACCUUUCAAAAAUAUGCACUAGGAGUUCAAAUGGAUGGAAACCGUCCGUUUGACCGUUUGUUGACAAAUAAAAUUGAAUUUUGACCAAUUUUUGACUAACUUAAAAGGGCAGAAAGGUAAAUUUACUAUUUAAUUCUAUAAUAAAACAAAUAAACUAAUAUACCAAAUAAAAAUAAAAGAAACUACUAUUCAUCUUCUUCUUCCCCUACCCCACCCCACCCCACCGCUAUUGUAAUUUUCCCAAUAAAAAAUGGUUUCUUCUUUUAGGAGCUGUAAUUUCGGGUUGUGCUGAGACGUACGAAACAGAAAUGUAACAGCAGGAGCAAGGUCCGAGCAAGGAUCGAAGAUCCAGAAGCAAUUUUUCGAUCGACAUCAGAAGGUUCGACAAUUCAGACAGGGAGAUGUUCUCGCCUUGCCGCCGGGUAUAACUCUUUGGCUUUAUAACAAUGGGCAAGAGCUACUUGUUACUGUGUCACUUCUUGACACUGCAAAUAAAAUGAACCAGCUUGAUCUCCAAUUCAGGGUAAGAAUAUCUGAAAUUUCUUGGUUGGUAAGCAAUAUUAUUCAGAAUUUUAUCGAAAUUUUCACUUUUUUCUUUUAGAAUUUCUUCCUUGCUGGAUUCAGUCGGGAUGAAUCCACACUUUUCAGUUCCAGUUCUUCCAGUUUUUCGAAGCAAGAAGCCCAAUUCUUCCAGCAUUUUUUAUUGGGAAAAUUGUAGCAGUGGUGGGGUGGGGUGGGGGGAGAAGAAGAUAAAUAGUAGUUUUUUUUAUUUUUAUUUGGUAUAUUAGUUUAUUUGUUUUAUUAUAGAAUUAAAUAGCAACUUUACCUUUCUACCCUUUUAAGUUGGUCAAAAAUUGGUCAAAAUUCAAUUUUAUUGGUCAACUAACGAUCAAACGGACGAUUUCCAUCCAUUUGAACCCCCGGUGCAUAUUUUUGAAAGGUUCGGGAUUGUGGGUGGCACUAACUAAAGGUUUGGCAAAGUCUGCCAAUAAACGAAAGAUUUGGUACAUCGACUGCAAUUUUCCCGAUUAAAUAUGAUCUAAGUAAAUUAUGCAUUUACUCCUGAAGAUAAAUCAUUGUAUAAUUUAUUAUAAUAUUAUGUGAUUGUUCUUGGAGAGCAUAAAUUAGAAUUUUCAAUAUUUCAAAAAAAAUUGACAUAUUACUUUUGAAUGUGCAAUAAUAAAAUAUAACUUAUUCUCGAAAUAACACAUGUUUCAAAAAUGUAUCAUUUUAAAUUCAUGUUUAUCCUUGAAAAAAAUCAUUUAACAAUGUCACAAGGACAUUAAUUAGCUUGACUACUUAAAUGAUAUUUGCUUAUAUAUAUUGUUAAUCAUAUUCUUUGAAAUUAAAUAUUGAAUUAUAUCUUAUAUUGAACUAGAAAUUCAAUUUAAAUUUACUGUUUGGCAUGACCGGUUGGAUAAUCUUUGAAUCAAUAAGAUGUGAGAUUAAAAAUUCGAAUAGACAUUCAAUCAGAAUCAGAAGAUACUUCAACCAAUUGAAUUCUCGUAUGUUAUUUGUUCUCUUUAUCAAAAUCUAACCAUUAAACAUCACUAGCUAUAACAAUGACUAAAUUCACUAUAUUUAUGAAAAUUAAUUAUGAUGAUAAAUGGGGCUUAAUCAUCCUCUAGUUGAUCAUUUAUUAUAUAUCUUUUAGAUUUGAUACAUAUACUAGAUGAUUACACGGUGUUUGUAAUCUAAAGUUUGCGAAAUUAUUGCUUAAAUUUUAAAUUAUAAACAUAAUUUUCAGAUUAUACAAUCGAAACAAUGUAUCGUGUCAAUGUUAGAGAUUCUAAAAUUUCAACAAUUUAGUAAGUGAUAUUUGAAAUAUCAAUACAUGGUUUAACACUAUUUUUUGUUAAGUGUCUCUAAUUAAUUUCUUAACAAGUAUUACUGAGAACAAAGUAUUUCUUAUUUCUGUCUAGGGAAAGUUAUUACGCUUCUUGCCAAUAUCGAGUUCUCCCUAUUAUAGUUAACUUAUGGUUAGAACCUAAUAUUUUUCAUCUAAUAAUUUUUUAAUAUGCAAUAUAUGUAUAAUUGCUCAAUUGCAUUAUAUUGACAUGAAAAAUAAAGAAUGUUGAGAAUAAAUUCGUAAUUUGAACUCUUAUCCCAAAUACCUAGCAAAGAUGAUUAUCAAUUUGAUUGGAUAAUUUUCUUAGCAAUAGGGGGGAUUAUGAAAUUGGAAAUAAUUUACAAAUGCGUCAUUAUCUAAAUCUUAGCAAAAGAUAAUUUGAACCAAGAGUUCAAAAAGAUAAUUUAUUUAUAUAUAUUUACUAAUCACAGAGAUCACCAAUAUCUCACGUACGAAUUGAUUUCCUAGAAGGACAAUUCGUUAACUCUAUAUUUGAUAAAUUUAUGGUAUGUUUGAGGCAUGAUGGUAUUCAAUUCUAAUACAAAAAAUUUCCAAACAAAAAUGGAGCAUAUAGCAAAGAUGGUCACGUUUAAGAGGCGUACACUUUUGGAAAAUAUAUAAACAUAAUAAAUUAUAAAACCCUAGAAGAGGUUCAGAUACUUGAUAUAUUGAAAUUUGUGAUACUCAUUAAGUUGUAUCAUUAUAAAAAGAAUAGAAUCAAAAAUAAAAGUUAUCAACAACACUUUUGCACAUGAUAUACUGCAUUAUAUUAUGAAUAGAGAGAAAUAGAAAUAAAUUCGUCAAAAUAUAUCGAUCAAAACAAUGUUUGCACAAAGUAAAUAGAUGCAAUUCUAGAAAAUUGAACUUACUAGAGAAACCUGAGAUUUCUGGAUCUACAAUCCAAACACCUAAAAGCGUAUGUUUAUGCGAAAUGUAAAUAGAAAAAGUGAAGUUGUAAUAUGAAAUGUAUGGCUCUUUACAUAAUGAAUUUUGCGAAGGGUUGUAUAAAUAGAUAAAUUAUCAUGUGAUAGAUGUAAAUCAUAAAUCUCUAUUUUAUUAGUCUAAAUGUAUGAAAUUUGAUAUGCAUAUAAUAAAUUUGAUUAUAACUAACUCAUAUGGUAUGACUAUUAAUAUUAACUUGAAAGAUUUAAUAUGUUCAAAGCUUAUAAUUGAAGUGAUAUUAUCAUGAGAGGGGGUGAAUAUACACUGUACACUUUAUAUCUUAAUCAAGAUUUUGGCCCAUUAGGUUCUCCUGACAAGGUUUUUAACAAGACAACUUUUGUAACGUAUUCAAAAAAAUAAUAUGAAUUUUUUUCAUUAUGAUUUUUCGUAGUAAGAUUUUAACGAGACAUAUCCUUUGUGUGAUAAAUGAACAUACAGGACAUUUACCCUCAAAAUAAUACUUCUAUAUAGAUGAGACCUCCGAAGAAAUUAACAAGAGCUAUUUUUCGAAUCAUCGUGUUACUACAAUUAUUAAAGGUUGAUAAAUAUUUCGUAUGAAGAAAACGUUACUUGAAGACAUUGGUGUACAAGAAAUUGCAAUAUUGAAGUCACUAACGUACAAGAUAUGGAUUGUUUGAUGAAAUAAUUCUCACUCACUAAAAUCAGAGGGGAGUAGUUAUACUCUUUUUCCUUUGAUUAAUUUUCUUGACAAGAUUUUAACAAAACAACAUUUUAUUACUCUAAAUUAUUUUUACUCUUUUUUUUCCCAUUUGUUGGCAUUUUGUCCUAUUGAAAUUUUGUCAAAUAAUAUUUCAAUAAGAUAGUUACCGUGUAAAUAAUUAUUCAAGGGGAAUGUUGUAAAUAUAGCAAUAUUUAUAAAUGAUUUUUAUACCCCUACAAUUUUAGUCAUUAUGACAUUUUGUUCUUUGUAACCCUAUUUCUUUCCUAUAAAUAUAGAGUUUUAGUUCUUAAUAAAAUACACAAUUCUAUUGGCUUCUAAACUCUAUUGUCACCCAUAGAUAAAAUUAAAUAAAAAUAUCAUUCUAUAGUCAUUUACUAAUAUUUAAUUUUUAUUUUAUUUUUGACAUUUUAAUAAAACCCUAAUAUUCAUAAAAUAUCUUUUUUGAGUAAAGUCAUAACAAAAAUGGAAGAGACGCUAUUAGAGCAAAUACUUAUGUACGAACAUAUAAAUAUGUAAAAAAGAGUUUGAAAAAGUAAGGAAUGCCUUUCAUUAUGUGUUUGAUGAAUUUAGCAUUUGAAUGAUUCUUAAUUUAUGUUUGGGUUAUUUAAUCAUACGCCUUUUAAAUUAAAGUAGUAUUUGAAGAAAUUUCAUUUUGAAUUAUUUGAGUUUUCUAUUAGGAUUAUCUUUUAAUUGAAAACAUUGAUACCUAUCCUUUCUGCUAGGAUUAUCAAAACAAGAAUGUGAAAUUUUUUGCUAGGAUUAUCUUCUUCCAUUUUUUCCCCUUAAAUUCAAAACAAUGGUAUCUAAUCUACUAGGAUUAUCAAAAUAAGUAAAGAAAUUUGAUGGUACAUAUUGAUGGCAAUAGUUGAACAUAUGAAAUGAUUAUGAAGGAUUACAAUGGGUAGAUUUAUAAAAAUGGUGAGAUAAAUAUAUAAAAAAUAUGUGCAUAGAUAUAUGAAAGGAUUAUGACCGGAUAUAUAUGAAAAUGUUGUGAAUUUAUAAUGUUAAAAUGAAUGAAUUCGAUAGGGACAAUAUUAGAAUGUGACAUAAAUAAAAAUGGUAAUUUUUUAAAAUUCAAAAUUUUAGUAAAGAUAGAUAUAGAGUGAGAUGAAUAUAUGACAAUGGUAAAUGAAAAAUGACUGCUUUCUUUAUAAAUUAUUUUUAAAUAAAAAAUUUAUUUUCAUUAACACAUUUCAGUGAACUCGUAAAUACAUUUCAGUUAUUCAUGAUUCAAUUUUAUUGAUUUAAAAAUUAAAUCAUUUAUAAAAUCUUCCCAAACCAAUGCUUUCGUAUAUAUUCAUAUAAUAUAUCUAUACAUAACAAUGUUACUAUGAGCUGCUAAAGCAAAACUCCAAAUGAAGGAAAGUAUUUUAGUACCUGUUAGGUUUAGUUAAAUAAGUAGAUGAAAAUAUAAAUAAAGUCAAUAAUAAAUUUUAACUACACAUUUUAUGAGCUCCACAAUUUUUAUUAACUUUUCAAUUAUACAUUUUAUAAACUUUAAUCAAAUCUACUAAGAAUCUUGUUUGGCCUUAAUUUCUUAUAACUCAUUUUUUCAAACUCUUUUUUACCACACAUUUUUCUAAUAAAAUAAUUUUGCACGUGAAUUCAUAAUUUUUCUUGACUUUUUAAUAUUUUCAAAAAAAAAAAAAUCACUUUUCACAAAAUCUAUUCUAAAAAAUCUCUACCAAAAAAUGAGUUAAAAACUAAUUUUUUUUAAAAAAUCAAACAGGACUUGGUCCAUAUUUCCUUCAAAAAAAAUAAUUCCGCAGGGCAAUUCAAUUUAUACAAAGUCGUGACGUAGGAAAAAAACAUCAAUGUAGUCCUAAUCAUUCUAGAGUUUGAUUACCCAAUAUUCUAAGAAUUUAUUGUGCUCGUCAUCACAUAUUAAAUGUUAAAGUAAUUUUAUAAUAACCGAAAUCCUUUUUAUCUUGCAUUAACUUGAAAACACGUGCAUCUAAAUUUUUAUCCAUAAAUUUCGUGAAAUCUAUAAGUACUAUCCAUUUGUUAGUAACUCAAUUUUAUCUAUUUAUAUUUCACUGUUUAUAAUACUCAUUAAACAUAGACUUAAAAUAUAUUUGUCUCAUAAUACUUUGACUUGAUUUCUGAAACAUUCAAAGUGAACUAGAUUCCAAUACUCUUCCUUGAUGCACUUUUGUGACAAGGUUAAUCACAAAAAUGAUUUAAUGUCCACGGUGUGUAUUAUAAUCCAUGCCCACCAUGGACAUUAGAACAAAACUAAGGUUAAUCAUAUUUAGGAGUAUGGUCAUAUUCUCAUUUCUUUUUCUUCAUACUCGAAAUCAUCUUCUCAGUUAGAAAUUGGAACGAAUGACGUCAAAUUGUUAAGAAUAUUUGCAUUUUUCAUUUUGAUUGUGAUUCUGGUUUCUAAUGUAGAGUAAUAUUAUUUGUUGCAAGGGAGAAAUUCCAGUUGAGAAAUCUUCAAGAAGCUAAAAAAAAUCAGCUACAUGGCUCAAAAUAGUGGAGAUUAAAAAUCAAGAAAAGAGGAGAAAAUUAAAACAUCAAUAAUUAAAUUACAGAUUGAAAACAAAUAUUUUUUUUUCUAAAUAAAUCUUAUUUGAUCCGUAACUGAGACAAGCUAGAGCCUAUAAUUUAAUUAUGGAUAAUGUUUAUAUUUUUCUACUUUUAAAACGAAUUAAUAUAAGAAAUACUAAUUAGAUAUAUAACCAUUUAGUAUCAAGAAAUUGCACUUCACAUACUGAAUUUGCUCUAUUUAAGUGAAAAAAAAAAGGAAAAAAAUUAUAUUUCAAAAAGAACCACGAACUCGAGAUAAACGAAAAGGUAAACUACAAUAGAAGCUAUAAAUAUAUCAAGGUCAAUUACCUGACAUUAUAAAAAAUAAAAAUCACUUAAGUUUGUAAAUAAUGAAAGAAAAUAAAAGCUCGAAUUGCAAAGAAUGAACGAUUUGAUUCAUCAACUUACAUUACAAUUCUAGCUUGAAAUAUUUUAUUCAUAAAAAGCCCAAAUUGCAAAAAUAUUUAUGCACUAAUCUCUGAAAUGAUAUAAUCUGAUGUGAAACGAGAUGGAAAAAAGUGGAGACAAGUGACAUCUUUGGAUUUGCGUGCGUGAGAGCAACUCAAACAAAGAAGAGUCUGGUCCGAUCUGAAUUCAGGCUCAACCCGCCCAUUUUCUACUAGGUCUGAGAAUGGUGCCAUGCAUUCAGUCGAGCAAUUUGGAACCAAGUAUUGAGCAAAUUUGUCUUGCAGUAUACUCCAUUGACGGUAGAUGACCUAGUCACUUCUCGAUUCUUUAUUUCUAUUCCUAAUUUAUCUUUUGGACCUUUGGUUUCGGUUUGAUUUCGAUUCGAGAGGUUCGAUUCUAGUUAAAAUGUCCAAUCCUUAUUUAGAAGAAAUUUUGGUAUUGGACGAAAACGGAUGAAAAUGAACGAUAAUUGCCCAAAAAUGAGUAAAGUUUAGCAUAUUUUGGAACUUGGAGAUCAAUGAGUCACGUUUGAAAGCUGAAGGACCUCAAUUACAUUAUCUAAGGACUCAAUCUAAACAAAAUAGGAAAUAUGGGCCAAUUGCUCCAAGUGAGAGCAUAAUUUUGGCGAGUUCAGAUCUCCUAAUUUGACUAAAGUAUGAUUUACUAUCAUCUUGAGACUAAAAUAGAGAUUUUAGACAUUAAAUUUGGGUCUAUAAAUAAGAAUCUUCCAUUCAAUUAAAAUAAGAGGCUAAAGAUACAAUCUUUAGGGAAAAUUACAAAUUCAAAUAAGUUGGAUCCUCAAGAUUUGUGUCUCAAUUCAAGAUUUGAAGAUUGAAUAACACAAAUGACCAGAAGAUUUACAAUCAUCCAAGAAGAGUUUGAAGAUCCAUUGUUGAGAAUUGGGUGCUAAAGGACAACGAUUGAUUGCAUUCCUUUUUAUUUUUUUUUGUGGUAAUGAACUCGGUGAUAGUUUUAAUCCUUUUGUUAUUUAUUUCCAAAUACAUGAUUGGCUAUAUAAUUGGUUUUUAAGAUGACAAUGUAGCUUAGGUUUUAUUAUUGUUUAAUUAAGAUGAUUUCAUGCAACUUUGAUUGUGUGUUAAUUAUUUAGUGUGUGUUUAACUAACAUUCAUUCGGUUGAUCAACAAUUAUUUGAUUUACGGAAAAAUAUUGAUACAAUGAUACUGAGAGGAGAUAUAUUUGUCUAAUUUGUGUAAUAAGUGGCAUAAGUUUUAUAAGAGAUCGAGAAAUGAUUAUAACUUAUGCAAUCAUGAUUGAAGCAUAAAAUAUUUGUUUUCUUUGCAUACUUCAUAGACUACUAGAUUCAUUAAUGGCUACUAUGCCCGGUUAAACCAUCUAAUUGACUUUUGGUUGAAUUGUGCCAUCUUCUUGACAUACUUUGGUUGCUGUUCUUGACAGAUGUGAGCAUAUAUCGAAAGAAAACAUUUAUGAUGUUGAUUCAAUGUCAGUAGUUGAUGUUGGUGAAGAAGUAGCAUGCAUUUAGGGGAAAGCUAUUUAUGUUUGAUAUGUACACUUCUUCUUCCUUACCUAAAAUCUUUAAAAUUAUAUGUUAAUAUUUGAAAUUAAGAAAUGUCAAGGGGGAGAUUGUUAGGAAAUUAUGUGCGGCAACAUAUUUUUAUUUAACUCGUGUUAAUUAUUGAUUUGUUGGUUUUCUUAAUUUUUUGUGGAUUUCAAUGUAGAGCUUCCGUGUUAAAAAAAAAAAAAAAAAAAAGGUUGAACACCAACAUUGAGGGGCCCCAUCGCCCCGUCUCUAGAGCUUUGUGAAGGAGGUAAAUCACGGGAUGUGUCCCAAUAGGUCAGGGAACAAGAGCUGUUUAUACACUGCGCCUACAAGGAGCCCGAUUCCAUAUUUCAGGAAUCAAAUUCUCACACUGCGACUGCCAGCAAGACGUGAAAUAAUCUCAGUCCUGUCCUUUGCACUACUGAGUUAUGCCCCAAAAGACCGAGCUUCCAUGUACUAUAUACAUGUGUUUGAUGAAAUUUUAUUUGGAUGGGUGAAGCGUUUGGAGAAUAUACCUAACUCCGUGAAUUCAUCUGCAAGUUUAAUGAACUCCAAUUUUAGUGAGUUCACGUGCAUGUUCGAGCGUACCAGCGAACUAACCCGAACAGACUUGUGAUUUUUGAGUUUCACAUAUUUGCCCUAUAUUUUUUUAACUAAAUGUGGAUUAUUUCAUUUAAUACACAAGCUUAUGGGAAUCCAAAUUUAUUAGACUUUUUUAAUUUGUUCUUCAAUUAAUUCAAAUAUUAUCUCGGAUAAUCCUUAUUUGUUUUCUUGCAGGAAAAUUUUGGGUUGAUUAUUGAUAUUUGUGGUAAUUACAUCAAACCAGGAUUUUUAAAGUUCGAUUUUAAAAAUAAAUAUAAAUUUUGUUUAUACAAAAAAUAGAUUUUAAUUCCAAUAUUUAAUAUUAAUAAUACCACGAAAAUUCAUCACAAAUCCUAAUUACUCUCCCAUCUCAUUUCUCUCUCUACAUCUCUCAAUACCCAUCUCUCUCUCUCUGACACACACACACACACACGGCAGUCGACAUCCCUUCUCCUUUCUCCAUACCCAUCUCUCUAUACACAACAACUGGCAUCCCGUUCUCAGUCACUGUCUUCAUCGUCGGUAAGUAGAGGAUGAGAUUUACUCUUCGCUGGCUAUUAAAUGUCGAGAUUAUCGAAGAAAUUGAAUUCAGUAGUGGAUGAGAUGAAGCAAUCUGAUCACUGCGACCUAAGGUGAAAAUCUCAUCCAAAGUUACAUGGCUAUAUUGUCGAAGUCAUUAGAGACGCUGUUUGGAAUCAAAUAAGAAGGCUCAGGCUCUUUGAGAAAUCAAGCAUUUUGACCUCUGCCCGACCAAAAUGAAGUAACUGCUCGACAAAUUUGUUACGUUCUUUGAUUUUAUUUUAUUAUUAUUAUUAUUUUUUAUUUAUUUAUUUUUUUUUUUUAGUAUUUGGUUAGUGGUGGUUGUGACAUUUGCUGCGACGAUGAGGUGGUGGCGUUGCUAGUGGUCUGAUGAGUUGGUGGUGAUGUUGAUAGUGGUGGUGGUGGUAGUGGUGUGGCGUCGUCGUUGCUGUGAAGUUGCAGUCUAGUUGUGCAAUAACAUUAUUUUGGAUCUGACUUUUUGGUGGUAUUUGGGCAAUAGUGGUUGUGAUAUUGGCUGUGGUGACGAUUUUGGUGGUCUGAUGAGGUGGUGGUAAUGUUGGUGGUGGUUGCAAUGGUCGUGACGGUGAUGGUAGUGAUCGUGGUUUUGGUGCGAUGAUUGUGGGCGGGAUAGAAUGGGGUGGAGGUGUUUCUUACCUAUUAUUUGAUUGAUUGUGACCAGUGAAUAAUAUGUGACAUAAAAAAUGUGAUUGUAACCCAUAAUUUAUUAAGUUGUGAUAGAAAUAACUUAUGACUAUUUAAUUUGAAAAUUUGUGACCGUUACAUAAAUUGUAACUUAUUAAAUUUGUGAUUUGUGAUCAAUAAAUGAAUUGUAACCUACAUAAUUUUUAUUUCUAUGACUAAUGAAUAAAUUAUAACCAAUAAAAAUUUUUAUUUGUAAAAGAAUAAUAAUUUGUGAUCAAUUAAUUUGAUAAUAUGUGAUCGAAAAAUGAGUUGUGACCUAUAAAUAUGUAACUGUGAUCAUAAAUUGUAUAAUUAUGACCUUAAUAUAUAUAAUUAAUAAAGUACAUAUCUAAUUAAUGAUUUCAUAAAUAAAUUUUAAUUACUAUCUGAUUUUUGAAAUUUUAAACCCUUAUUUCUUAGUAUUGAAAUUGAUUAUAUUUAAUCUCUUAAUUAUGAAAUUUUCCCUUGAUAUUUUCUUAGGAGUCUUUUUCUUUAAAUAUAAAUAGGACUCUUAAGAAAAACUUUUAUGAGGCCUUCUUCAAAAAAAAAAUAAAUAAAUAAAAUACUGAAGUCUCACGUUUUUCUUAAUGAGAGAGAAACAGACAUGGCUGAUGAAAAAUUGCACUUGGUUUUCUUCAAUUCUGUUUGAAGAACAUACUUACUAUGCUAAAAAAAAAUAAAAAUAAAAAAUAAAAAAAAAUUCCAAAUCCAAAUGUAGAGUUAGUGUGAAAAUAAGAAUAAUGUUAUUUGCAGUCGCUCACUACAACAGUCGUCAUACGUGGCAUACACAUGGCAGGUAGUUAUUUGAUGCAUUAAUGAAUAAAAAAAUUACCACAUUAAUGUAUCAAAUAAUCACCCGUCAUGUAUAUGCCACGUAGGACGACUGUCGCAGUGAGCGACUGGCACAGUGAACGACUACGAAUAACAUUACUCUGAAAAUAAGGAUGUGGUUCUUAUUCCAAUUCGUGGAAGAUUUCGAAUAUAUGAUCAGGAAUGACAAAAAUUCUAAAUCUCAGCGUGUGAUUCUAUUCCUCUACAAGUCAAGAGAAUUAAAAAAUGAGGAAAGUUUGUUCCAUUACUAACUAUGGACGACUAAUGGCUAUGGAAUUUCUGUAGGGAAAAUAAUGCAACAUAAUGAAUUUAUCGUCCUCUAAUUUAUAUUCAAAAAAUAAUUUUUUCUAGUACGUAAAAAGUUAGACAGCGUUUCGACUUACUAAAUGAAAGGAAUAAAACAGAAAUUAAAAUGGUCGAGACAAGAGUUCAAUUCUUUUUCCUUAAGACGAUAAUACUCUUAGACAGUUUUUAGCAUUCAUAUCUCAAAAUACAACGAUCCCGAUUUGUACUAACAACAUUCCAAAUUAUAUGAUCUGAUGAACUUAUGUUUUGAUCCCUUUAAAUAGAAAGAUGACUAAGAAUGCAAGAAAAUAAUAUUCGGAAUUGAAAUGUAAAUUUUGAAAUAGUGCGGGAAGGAAUGACAAUUUUUUUAAGUAGGAGAGAAUUGAAUUGAUUUUGGAAUGAAAGAAAUUCAACAUAUAGAGGUUAAUUUAUAAAAAAGUUGAAAGGUUGUGUCCAAAAAACAUAAUUGUUGAAAAGUUGUCUUGAAUAGACACAUGUUUGGACAAAUAGCAAUUGUAUACGGAUACUAAAGUAUAUCAUAUGAAAUACGUAGUUAAAAUUAAUUAUUGACUUUAAAUCAGGGGGUGUAUUAAAUUGAAACUUUUAAUCUUUUUGAAAUUUAAAACUUUAAGGGCAUUCAAUGUAGAUUUUUUGAGACUCUCUAAAAAUAUUGGUGUAUUCAAUUGAAACUUUUAAAAAUUCCUUAAAAGUUACUGUAUAUUCAAUUAAAACUUUUUAAACGUCUUAAUAAAUUUUAAGACAUUUAAAUUUUAAUGACUUUUGGAGACUUAUAAAAAUAUGUAGAAUACUAACUUAUAAGUAAAAAGUACUCUUAAAAUCUCAAAAUUUGCUCUCAUUAAUCAAGAGUUUUUUGGGAGAGUUUCAAUAAAAAAAAAAUGUCUUCCCCCNNNNNNNNNNNNNNNNNNNNNNNNNNNNNNNNNNNUUAAAAAAAAAAAAGCUUCCCCCCCCCCCCCCCCCCCAAUAUUUCUUUUUCCUUUUUCCUUCUAUGAACAUUUGAGGUAUGAUUAAAAUUUAUUUUUUCUAUUGAUUAUAUUUGUUUUCGUUUAUCUUAUCUUUCACUUUUUGUUUAUCUCUAUUUUUUGUGAAAAAAUUAAAUUGGAGUCUUAUAACUUUUUUUUUUUCAUCUUUCCAUUCAUUUUUUUGCAAAUAUAUAUUUAUAAUUAAAUUAUAAAAUUUUAUAUGACAAACUUAUAAUUAAAUUUUAUAAAUAUUAAAUUUAUUUUUUAUCAUAUAUAUGUAUAAUUUUGAUUAUUAUUUAUUUAUUGAUGUCUUAAAUUUUUAUUAUCUUUAAAAUAAUUUCUUAUUAUAUGAGGAGGGGAAGGGGAUGGGAAAUUGUGGGAAAUACCACAUCCUAUAUAAGAAUUUUACAUUAUUGCACUAGGUAUACGUGAAUUCUACAUUAAAUGAAAGUUUUCAAAAAGUUAUUUGAAUUCUUCAAAAGUCUAUAAACAUUCUAAAAUAAAAGUUUAUAAAAGACUUUCACUAGUUUUAUACAAAUCUAUGAAAGAUCCAUGAAAUUCACAGAAGUCAUUACUUAAAAAAGACCUAUCGAAAUUUUCAAUUGAAUACACCCCUUUACUUUAAAAUAUACAUUUUAAUCUCUACAAACCAAUGGCUAAUUAUAAUAUUUAAUUUAAUGAUAAAAUAAUAUAAUUAAAAUAUUAGUUUACCAAAAAAUAUAUAUCAACUUGGGCUAAGUCCAAGCCCAGCAGCACGAGUGUGGGCUGUCACCCAACCAACUACCAUGCAGAUCCUCUUCUCUUCAAAAACUAUUAACACCACUUGAGACCCAAACUCAUGUUAAACUUGAGAUAUGUAAAGUAACAUUUUAUAUGUGGGUAGGCACUUUUCUAAUUUCUUACCAAAUUUCUAUUUUAUAAUAUAUUUUUUUAAAACUUCAAAAAUGGCCUUAAUUUUUCAUUAAUCCAUAAUUAGUUUUGAGAAAAUAAAUAUACUAUGUUAAUCUACUCGUGAAAUAUAACUCACUUGGCCAAAGAUAUCUUUCGUCCGACGAUCAGGACCCACUCAAAUAAUUUGGUCAAAAGUUGGUUUAAAAUCAAUUUUCCAACAAUUCUUGGUAGACAUUGCAAAACUGAUGAAUAAACCAACAGGACAGUGUGCCCCCUCAGAAAGAGGCUCCUCAAACUCAAUGCGGUUGCAACAGGAAGAGGGUAGGGGUGAACGAACAACAAUUGAUGCCUGAGAGAGAGUUUACGAUUUGUAAAGUAACCAUCUCUUAAGAUUAGUUGUGCAGAACGCGAUGCUCUGAGUCAUACAUGGGAUUAAACUUUGAGAUCCCUGUGAAAGACCCGUUUGGCAUGACUUUUAAAUAGGAAAAAGGAACUUUUGAGACUUAAAAGCUGUUUUUGAAUAUGUUGGACUAAUUUUAUAAAUGUGUUGCUUUUAAAGAAAGUUGAUCCAACGUUAUUUCCUUUAAAAUACACUUUUAAAAUAGAAAAUUCUUUUAAACACUAGUUUCCAACAAGAAUUAAGAUUAUUUUCCCAAUAAGCAAAAAGCAAAAAUUAUGCCAAACGAACCCUAAUUACUUUACGCAUCAAGGCAGGUGUUGUUCUCUUCAUCCCGUUAUCCACAAUCUAGCGUUGGAAGCUAUGUUUUAACCAAGAGACGUGUAAAUGGCUCGAUCCAUACAUUUGUUACUUUAAACCCUUUGUGCAAAAUGACAAACUAUAACAAAAAUUCUCUAUGACCUCUGUGCACAAUACAAUUUUGAAAUUUACAACAUUAAAUACUGGACGGAAGCUAAUGAAACCAUAACAUCAUCAAAAUGAUACCAUUCCACUCUCAAGUGUAAAGAGAUUGGUCCAUAAUUGAUAGGCAAUCAAAGGGGAUUAAACAAACCAACUCCUCGUCAAUAAUGGUGUUUCAAAUGACUUAUCAAUAUGCCCCUGCCUUCUUAGAAAUACAAUAGCAUGUUUGGCACAUAAUAUAGACAUAAUGGACGAUCGUUUACUUUCAAUGCUGUCAAAUCGAACUUACCUGGUUUUGAGGCCGGAGAGGUGGAUUUCACCAAUUCAGCACUUAAAAGGCUUUAUGAAUAGUAUAGUGCAUGCUAGGAUUUUCACAUCUACGUUUAUUUUUACUCAGACUUGUGCUUUGAAUAUCUCCUUGCAUUCGACUUUCCAACGCCACUUUUACACCGACCAACAAACUUGAGAAACUCGUCAAUUAUAAUGACUGGCAAUGAAACCAUCAGUACC